rnacentral:lncRNA from 1 species
UCGGCAUCAGGAUCGCUGAUCAAAAGGACUUGAAGAGAGUUUUUAAGGACGAGUCUCCGGUACUGUCUCUUGUCCGUACGUGGCUUUAUAAUCUCUACAUCAUCUUUACCGACAGCCAUUUUUUCAGUCUCUUGCAGAAGAGAGAAACAAUCGUUUUGGCUUUAUAGGGAUCCACAAGUGAAAUGACCGAGACCAAGACUUUAUUUUUUAUUUUUUUAUAAAAAGACCAAGACGUUUUUGCUCGAGUCUCCUGCGCUUUUGUGUUGUGGCUGUCACGGAUAUUUGCUUCCUCAAUAAAUAUGUGACAAAUUUCACAAACCUGCCUUAAAGAGCGUUAGGUAUUGACUUACUUUGACCAAAACGACGUUAUUAGUUAUGUGGUUGUAAGAGAAUCUUUUAUACACUUAAAAAAAAAUAAUAAUAAUAAUAAGAAAAAGAGAAUCUUUUGUACAACACUAGUGUCUGGGUCGAUCGCGAUCGAUACUGCAUGAAUGCAAAACAUUCGAUAAACGUAAUGAAGAGAGAGGCUUUACUUCGUCUGACAUGACUUCAAACUAAUUGACAACUUAAAAUUAUCAAACUAUUAUUGCAAAAAAAAAAAAAACAUAUAAUACUGCAAGUUCGAAUGUAAUUUUUAAGAGUCAUCUUACAGUGCAGCGCUGUAUCUUAUACAGCCGCUGCCAAAAACUAGAACAACCGGUAUUUUACCGGUUGUUCAUUAAAUAAUUUUUAAAAUUUGUUUUUAAUGCUUAAAAAAAUAUAGUAAAAUGAAAAAAAAUGUAUGAAAAAUUUAAAUCUGAAACAUAAAAAAUCAAUUAAAUGAGAAAAAUAUUUUAAAUUUUUUUAACAUAAAUAAAUGUUAAGAAAUUAUAAAAAUAAUUAUAUUUCAAUUUUUUUGGCUAAAUACCAAUUUAAUGGGUGGAUGUUCAAGUUUAUUUUGUAUGUCUCUAAUUUCGGUUAGUCUUUUUCAUUUAUUGGUUCAUUUAUUUCAAUUUUUCAACCACUAGUUUUGUGUUUAAUGUUCCAACUAAAUUAAUUAAAUACCAAUAUUUUGGGGUAAAUUACAAGUAAAUUUUAGUUCUCGUAGGAUGAGUUCCUAAUUUUAGUUAAGCUUUCUCUCUUAUUGGUAUAAGGGUUUCAGCUAAUAAUUUCACUAGCUUUGUGUUGAAUGUUCCCAUUAUCGAGGUAAGAUUUCAAUUAUUUGAGUUAAGUACCAAAUUACUUUGUAGCGUUUAAUUUUUGGUUGGAUUUGUAUCAAAUUUUGGUUAAACUUUCUCAAUUUAAGGUUAAUAUAUUUCAACUUUUCAAUCCAUUAGUUUUGUGUUUAUUCUUCCUACUAAAAUUGUUAAAAAUCAAUAUUUUGGGUUAAAUUCCAAGUAAAUUUUAUUUCUCGUCGGAAUAAUUCCUUAUUUUGGUUAAACUUUCUCCAUUAUGGGUUCAUAUAUUUCAACUAAUAAUUUCAGUGAUUUUGUGUUGAAUCUUACUAUUAUCGCGGUAAGAUUUCAAUAAUUUGGGUUAGAUACCGAUUUUACUUUGUAAAUUUUUAUUUUUGGUUCUAUUGGUUCCUGAUUUGGUUAAUCUUUCUCAACUAUAGCCUUAUAUGUUUUAACUUUUCAAUCCACUAGUUUUGUGUUUAGUAUUCCUACUAAAAUCGUUAAAAACCAAUAUUUUGGGUUAAAUUCCAAGUAUAUAUUAUAUCUCAUUGGAUAAUUUUCAUGAUUUUGGUUAAAUUUUCUCUCAUACAGGUUCAUUUAUUUCAACUAAUAAUUCCACUAGUUUUAUGUUGAGUGUUCCUAUUAUCUAGUUAAGAUUCCAAUAAUUUGGGUUAAAUAUUAAAUACACUUUGUAAGAUUUUAUUUUUGGUUGGACUAAUCCCUAAUUUUGGUUAAUCUUUCUCAAUUAUAGGUUAAUAUAUUUCAACUUUUCAAUCCAUGAGUUUUGUGUUUAAUAUUUCUAUUAAAUUCGUUAAGUAACAAUAUUUUGGGUUAAAUUAUAAAUAAAUUUCAUUUCUCGUUAGACUAAUCCCUACUUUUGGUUAAACUUUCUCCUUUAUUGGUAUAUGAGUUUCAACUAAUAAUUUCACUAGUAUUGUGUUCAAUAUUCCGAUUAUUUAUGUAAGAUUUUAAUAAAUUGGGUUAGAUACCAAAUUUACUUUUUAGAUUUUAUAUAUGGUUAGAUAAGUUCCAUAUUUUGGUUAAACUUUCUCACUUAUGGGUUCAAUUACUUCAAUUAAUUAGUUCACUAAUUUUUUGUUUCAAGUUCUCAGUGCCUACGUUAUGUUUCAACAUUAUUGGUUAAAUUCCAAGUUGAUAUUAUAAAAUUCAAAGUUACCUUUAUUACGAAAAGCAAAUAAUAUUAUUAAGGUGAAUCUCAUUUUACUCCUCUUAUUUCAGUAAAUAUCAACUUACAACAAUAUAUUAAAAUUUCACUAUUGUAACCCCUAUUCAAUUUUCUAUAAACUACAAUCAACAUUGUAAGUUAAAAGAUUAGGAACUUAUCUAAUCUAAUUAUGUUGGAACAUUUUAUUUUUCUUUUUAAUCUUCUUGACUUCAUGAGAUUUCUUAAACUCAACUUAUUUAAACUUGAGCUUUUUAUCAUUAUAGAUAUGCCUAUUUUAUUAUUUCAAAUUAAUUGUACUCAUUUUCUUUCCAAAAUAAAUUCUUUGAUAUCUCAUGACUUCAGCCAAAAUUUCAUUUUUAACAAUUGCAUAUGCAAUUUGUACAGCUCAAAUUUUUAUUUUUCAAAUGUUUAAGAUAAAACAAAUUAUUUAUUUAUUAAUUUAUUAUAUGAUUAUCACAGGAAUAAUGAAAAUUAAUUUUUAUAUUCAAAUUUUAAGAUUUGCAAAUUAGAAUUUACUUUGAAUCCAAUUCAACUAAGUCACCAUUUAUUUAUCUUUAAUUAAUGCUUUAAGCAUAGUAAAUGCAUUUCAAAUUAAACAAUAUUUUGUAUAAAAAAAAUACAUUAGGAAAUUAAUGCAAUCAAGAAAAAAGAAAAUAUAUUAAAACAUUAAUUUUGCUUCCUCAAUUAAGUAUUAAAAGGAAAAUUUUCUCUUACAGAUAAAUUCAACCUUAUAAUUUAACAAUAAUGUUGACUACAAUUUUAAAACUAUUUAUUUAUUGCUCCAAAUUGCAAUAGUUUUUUAUGAGUCAUAAAAAUUAAAUUUAUUUAACAUUAUACUUAUAUAGUUGGAUACAUAAUUUAUACCUUAAUUGAUGUUGCCUUAUUUUCAAUUAUUAUAUUUUAGUGAUAGUUUAUUUCAUUGUAUACUAAUAGUGUUAUAAAUUUGUAAUAAUUGAUUAUACAUCAUAUUUUUCAUUGAUUACUACUCGAAUUAUAUAAUAUCUAUUUUAUAAGUGAGUAUUACUCAAAUUAAUAUAUUAUACUUUAAAAUUUUAAUUAUUAUACUUAAAUCAUAUAAUCACAUAUGCAAUUAAGCGUAAAUAAUGAAAAAGGUCACUUCCCAAGGUUUGGGGAAAUGAUCAUGUAGAUCCUUGAGUUUUUACUAAGAGACACUAAAACCCCUUUUAACUAUAAUGCUGUGGUUCAUUCUUAUAAAAAGAUCCAGUUGCCUCCACUGCAGACAUCUCUAGAGAAAAAAUCUAUUGCAACUUCCAAUUGGCAAUCCCCACUGCCAGGUUGUUUCAAAGUUAAUGUGGAUGCAUCAGUUGUGAUUGAGCAGAGAAGAGUUGGUCUGGGGGCUGUGGUUCGAGAUUCUAGAGGCAAAGUAAUAGCAGCAGCCAUGAAACCUUCUUGUUUCUAGCAGGAGGUAGCCUAUGCCGAAGCAGAAGCUGCAAGAUUCGGUGUUGAAAUUGCAAAAAAGGUGGGAUGUUGGCCUUUAAUCAUAGAAAUUGAUUCUGAGGAGGUUGUAGAUCUGGUUUUGAACAAGAAAAGCACAAGAACUGAACUUUAUUGGAUCAUAUCUGAUUUGCAAGCUUGUAUUAAGAGGCAACAACAAAUAUCAAUUCAAUAUACUCCAAGAGCCAGUAAUGUAAUAGCUCACAAUUUAGCUAGACUAGCUCUGGAGCAAUUUGACGUUGUACUUUGGGUGGAUAACAUUCCAGCCCGCCAUUUGUAUUUAUUCGCUUGUUAAAUGCAUUUAAAGGGAGCCCUUUUUAUCAAAAAAAAAAACUAUAAUGCUUUUUGACUUUAUUAAUUCAAAAAAAUUGACUCUAAAGUUUUAUAAUAAGUAGAAAUAUAAUAUUAAAAUAAAUGUAACAAUAUAUACAUUUUAAAUUAAUUAAUAUAUAAAAAAUAUUUUAGUACUUUACAAUCUUAUAUUAUAUUAAACUAAAAUUUUUUAAUAAAUAGGAACAUAAUAUUAAAAUAAAUAUUUAAAAAUUUAAAUUAUUUUCAAUAUUGUAUACAAAAUUUGAAUACUAUUAAUACAUGAGAUAUAUUUUAUUAAUAAUAAAAUCUAUUUAACCUAAAGAUUUAUUUAAAAUUUUUCUAACAAAUACAAAUAUAUAAUUAAAAUAAAUAUCAUAAUUUACAUUUUAAAAAAUAUUUUAUAUAUUAAAAAAUAUUUUAAUAUUAUUAAUUUAUUAGACAAAUUAAACUAUUUAAAUUAUAUUUGUACUUCUUAAAAAUCUAAAAGUCAAUUUUUUUGAAUCAAUAAAUCCAAAUUGUAUUAUAGUCAAAGGGGUCUUAGGGUCCCUCGGUGAAAACAUGGGGUUUUAUAUGAUCAUUUUUCCAAAUUUCGGGGGUGUAUGUAUCUUUUUCCCUAAAUUAUUUAAUUCUCAGUGUUGCACUAAAAUUAUAGUUUUCUAGUUACAUUGUUAAUUUAGUUAAGGGUACAAUACAAUGUCAAUCACAAUUAUUGUAAUAAUACCUAAAAAAUUAUGCUUGAUAUUAUUAAAAAUUUAAUUUUUAACAAAUUGUACCUUGUUGACUUGAUUGAGUGGUUUUCAAGCGGGGUUAAAAAAUAAAAUCAAAUUAUACACACUUUAGAAAAAUACAUUCAAUUGGACUAUAUAUAUACACAUUAUUAAAACUUUUAUUAUUAUAGAAAAUAAAAUCAUAUAGACUAUACAAGACAUUUCAUUAAAAAUAUAUAAUAUCGUAAAAAAUAUCAUAAGCUGAAUUUAGUUUAAUCAUAAUAAUAAUUACUAUAAUGACAGUUAUUAACAAUAUAAAAAAAACAAAGAUUAUCCUUUGUUGUUUAGAAAAAUGAAAAACCCUCUCAUGUUUUAAAAUAAAUUCAAAUCUCCUGCAACUCUAACUGUGUUAGCUUUAUAUAUCAUUGUAUUAUUUGACACAUAGUUUUGAUGUUAGCCAUAAAAUUUAAAUAUUUUUAGAGUAUAAAUAAAGUGAAAUGACUUAUAUAACUCUAAUGAUUAAAUAAAUUUAAUAAUAAAUUAUCGAGAAAAAUUACUUCACACACACACAUAUUGUGGAUAUAUAUAACCAAAUGCUAUUCCAAUUUAAAUGGAUAAUUUACAACUAUUAGGGAUAUUUUCCCCACUUGUAAUUUUUCUUUAUAAUUUACAAUUUAUUAUAAAAUAAAAUUUGAUCAUUAAGGAUAUAUAAGUUAUUUUAAUUAAUUUGUAUUUUCAAAAUAUUUAAAUUUUAUAGGUAACAGUAAGAUUAGGGGUAGAAUAGUAAAAUGAUAUAGAAAGCUNNNNNNNNNNNNNNNNNNNNNNNNNNNNNNNNNNNNNNNNNNNNNNNNNNNNNNNNNNNNNNNNNNNNNNNNNNNNNNNNNNNNNNNNNNNNNNNNNNNNAAUAUACUUAGUUUACACUAAUAUAAAUAUUAUUCUCACUAAUAUAGACAUUACAUGUUUCAAAGUAAUUUUUUCAGCCAUAAGAAAAUGCAAAUUUUUCAUGCUGAGGAGGGUGUCUUUGAAAUUUUCCUAAUUUAAAUUGAUAAUUUAGAUAUUUAGAUAAAAUUGGUUGUAGCUAUGUGAUAAUUACUACUGAUAUUUGCCAGUUCCCACUUCCAAUUCUUUCGUUCGGUAGCAGGUUUCAUGCGUAAAAAAUAAAAGCCGUUGGAUUGCUUAUAAAAGCAAUCCAACGGGGAAUAGGUUUCAAAAUAAAAAAUAAAAACGGCUGUAUGGCGUGCAGUGGCUGUAUUAUAAGCGGACCCAAUUUUUAAAUAGGUUUAUUUAACUAAUCAUUCAAGUUCAAAUUUUAGAGAGAGAAAUAAUAUUAUUAAAGAAGAAGAACAUACCAAGUUGUCAAUGAAAAGAACAGAGAGAGUAAAGAUAAACAUUAAAUUAGAGAAAAAAUUAUAAAAGAAAUUAAUUAUUCGUUUUAUCUAAUCUUCAGCUAGCUUCAUCCUUCUCUGAUUUGAAGGCAAAAAUUUUGUUUAAAUUUGUGGCUGUUGUAUAUUUUGUAAGUUCAAAUGCCCCACCACUCUAUAUUUAAAAAAAAAAAAAACAAAAAUAAUUUUUUUGACUAUAUAUUCGUGAUUUAGAUAAUCUUAUGUAGCCUUCUUUUUUUUUAUAAAUCUAAAUCAAUCUGAAAGCAUAUGUUUGAAAGAUAAUUUUUUUUUAUUUUUUAAUGUCUAACUAUAAGUGAUAAGUUUUAUACACUCAAAACAUCUUAAAUAUAAUAUUUUUAUACUUAUGACCUUGAAAGUGUUAUUUAUAUUUAGUUAAUUUAAAUAGGUAUAUACUUGCAAUGUUAUUUAGUACAAUAGUAUUUAUAUGUUAUAAAUAUUUAUAAGGUAAACAUUUGAUAUAUAAUUUAUGAAAAAUAAUUUUGAUAACAUUAUUUUUUACAAAUUAACAUAGUAUUUAUACAGUAAAAAAAAUUGUUAUCUAAUAAUAAAAGAAUUUGCACAUAUUGAAUGCAUGUUAAGUAAUUAAUACUAAGCAAAAGUUGAGGUCAAGAGAAAUUCUAAUAUGACAUCUAAAUUAUGUUAUAGACAGUUAAUUAAAAAAAAUUCUUUUGAUUAAAAGAAAUCAAAGGAUUAUUAGGUUUUAUAUAAUAGUUGGGUAGAAAAUAAAUUCAUUUGAUGAGAGUACUUGUGAGAAAAAAAAUAAUUUCUCAUUUAGAUAAAAAUUAAAAAAAUUUAUUUUUUCCAUUCAAAUGAAAAUAUCUUAUAAUAAGACUUUAGAUACAAAACCAAACAAGUUAAAAUACCAAAACAUCUUAAAUCAAGUCAAAUUAAGACUUUAGACAUAAAAAAAAAUAAACCCUUACUUUUACUCAUCAAAUAAUGAAACCGUGCACCGCAGACAGCCUACAAAACUCAUCAAAUACGAUUCUAUUCACAACUUAUUAUGAUCGGUACUCGGUAGUUAAGAAUAUUAUUAACUACCCCUUUUUUUAUAAACCAUAAACUAAGAUAAUUGAAACCCACGUAAAGAAACAUUAAUCAAGAAUAUUCCUAAUAAGAUGGUUUGCGAACGUACAAAUAUAACUUGAUUUUGUUUUGUGGGACUCUCCGCCUUCAGAUAUUUCUAGGCUUCCCUCUUAUAACUCUAAGGACUCUUGCUUUGUUCUAUUUUAUUUUUCGUUCAAUUCUUGUUUCGCGCGCUGUCAUAGCUUUCUUUCUAUUUUACAAGGAAAUGCUCACUAUUCCUGUUGAUUGAGAUAUUUUGAUGGUCUUAUUAAGAAUAUCAGUCCUCACAUUUGUUGUUAUUGUUGUUCGUUAUAAUCUUGAACUAACAUCCAAACGAAUGAUGGCAAGAUUACUGAACUUCUUUUCAUUGUUAACUUUCUCGUUGAGGCUCAGCGUCGGAGGGCUCCUGCCUUUAAAAAACUCUACCCCUUCAAACUAAGGGUUGGAUCAAUUGGGCCAAGAGACGGGUUGGGCUUGUUUGUCAUUCUUAAAUUAUAUGAAAGCACAAUGAAUAAGAAGCAAAGAAAGAAGGAAAAUGAAUACAAUUAUACAAACCUCAAAGAUUCUCUCGCUGAUUUUUUAAGCAUUCGUGAAAGGAACCUAAAUACAGCCUAGGGAACAUAGUGAGCAUUAACCAUUAACGAAACAUAUAUAUAGCGAUUGAAAAAAAAGACUGCUAAUUAAGAAGAAAAGAUCUUGUUCAAGUGUGAGCUGUGAAACUGAUUUCCAGAGAUUCAUACGACAUGUCAGUUCGUGAUUGGUACAGAAUACGACUGGUCGGCUAAGAUCAUGCAAAGCCAUACGACAAAGCUGUUUGUUCAUCCAUAUGCGAAUAAGUCAAGCACGUGGUCGUCACAUGCUUACACUUAUUCAAUACGACUUUGCUGAGUGCCGUUUUGGAGCCUUCAUUCAAUGUGAAGUAAACACGUGGCUCUGAAGGUCGUUAUGUUCUGUUACAAGAGCGGGAAGAUCUGGUUUUUAUUGACAGAGGAGAGUUGACUGGUGGGGGUAAUUUCUGGGCUCACUUAAGCAUGUAUAUAUAGCCUUAAGUGAUGUGGAAUCAGGGUGUGUGAUGCUUGUAACUUCAUAUAAAGACUUGUAUCUUGUUCCUGGUGAUUGAAUAAAGAUUGUUGCUCUAUUCUUCAGUGGAUGUAAGCCAACUCCAGGUUGAACUACUUAAAUCUUUUUUUUUCGUUGGUUGCUGUUCUUUAGUUCCUUUUGUGUAUCUUUUAUUGUUGCUUAAGUAUUUCUUAAUCAAGCAUCAGAGUGUUUAGAUAAAUCUUGGGAAUCUUGGUUGAUUUAAUUCGAUCAAGGUCUAACAAAUUGGUAUUAGAGCCCAACAACUCUGAUUUUUUAUCCAAGAAAUGGCAACCUCUAAGUUUCAAGUAGAGAAAUUUACAGGAGAGAAUGACUUCCAUUUAUGGCGGCUUAAGAUGAGAGCAUUGUUGGUCCAUCAAGGGCUUGAAGAAACACUGGGGGAUCCAAGAUCUGAAAAGAAGCCCAGCAAGCUCAGUGGAGAAGAAAUGCAAGAUGCAUUAGACAAGGCUCAUAGCACCUUAAUCUUGAGUCUGGGUGAUGGAGUUCUGAGGGAAGUUGGGGAUCAAACAACUGCUGCAGGCCUCUGGAAGAAAUUAGAAGAUCUCUAUACGAAAAAGUCUCUAACCAAGAGACUUUGCACUAAGAAGAGGCUGUAUACAUUGCAAAUGGAGGAGGGUAGCUCUCUGGCAAAUCACAUUGAUAACUUCAACAUAAUCAUUCUUGAUCUUGAAGAUAUCAAUGUGAAACUGGAAGAUAAAGACAAGACAAUAAUCUUGUUAUCAUCUCUCCCACCUUCCUAUGAACAUUUUGUGGACACUUUACUAUAUGGAAGGCAGUCAAUAACCAUGGCUGAUGUGAAAGACUCUCUCAAUUCAAAAGAGGUCACAAGGAAGUCAGAAGUAAAAGAUGGUGAAGGCUUGACAGCAAGGGGUAGACUAGAAAAGAAGGAUUACAGUAACAAGAAUAGAAACGCAGCAAAUCAAAGUCAAAGAAUAAAAGUUUGAAAUGUUUCCAGUGCCACAAAGAGGGACAUUUCAAGAAAGACUGUCCAGAGAGAAAGAACAAGGAAAAAGAUGGACCCAAGAAGAAUGGAGAUGCUGCUGUUGCAUCAGAAGAAAAGGAUGAUGAAGGCUAUGACUCAGCUGAGGUUCUUCUAGUCACUGGAACUCAAACCAAUGGUAAGUGGGUGUUGGAUUCUGGAUGCACUUAUCACAUGUGCCCUGAUAGAAAUCUUUUUUCCAGUUAUAGAUUUUUUAAUGGUGGGGAAGUUAUGAUGGGAAACAACUCACUUUGUAAAGUGGUUGGACUUGGAACCAUUAGGCUUAAGAUGUUUGAUGGGGUGAUUAGGGAAUUAAGUGAAGUAAGGCAUGUUCCUGAGCUAAAAAGAAACUUAAUAUCACUAGGAAUCCUUGAUCAAAUAGGCUGCAUCAUUAAAAUGGAAUCUGGGGUUAUGAAGAUAAUUAGAGGGUCCAUGGUGAUAAUGAAGGGGGCCAAAAAUAAUGGCUUGUAUGUGCUGCAAGGGACAACCAUUACAGGGGAUGUUAGUGUCUCAACCAGUAAGAAUCUAAACAAAACACUAAUGUGGCACAUGAGAUUGGGGCAUAUGAGUGAAAGGGGGAUGAAGAUAUUAGAAAAACAAGGAGUCUUGAGGGAUGAUAAGAUAGGUUAUGUUGAGUUCGUGAGGUAUGUGUCCUAGGAAAAUCCUCUAGAACUAGUUUCAAAAUUGCAGUGCAUAAGACCAAAGGAACCUUAGAUUACAUCCACUCUGAUUUAUGGGGACUAGCACAGACAACUUCUUUAGGUGGAGCUAAAUAUUUCCUAUCCUUGAUUUAUGACUAUUCUAGAAUAGUUUGGGUGUAUCUCUUAAAGAGUAAAAAUGAAGCCUUUGAGAAGUUUAAGUAGUGGAAAGCACUGGUAGAAACACAAACAGGUAGAAAAGUCAAGAGGCUAAGGACUAAUAAUGGUUUAGAAUUUUGCAAUCAACAAUUCAAUGAUUUCUGUGCUCAGAAUGGAGUUGUAAGACACAAGACAGUAAGGCAUACUCCACAGCAAAAUGGACUUGCUGAGAGGAUGAAUAGGACUCUCAUGAACAAAGUAAGAUGUCUGCUAAUUCACUCAAAACUUCCUCAAUCCUUAUGGGCUGAGACACUUAUGACAGCUUGUUAUUUAGUCGAUAGAAGUCCAUCCAGUGGCAUAGACUUUAAAACACCUGUAGAAAUGUGGUCAGGCAGAGCUGCUAACUAUUCUGAUUUGAAGAUAUUUGGCUGCCCAGCAUUUGCACAUGUAAAGCAAGGAAAGCUUAAGCCUAGGGCUCUGAAAUGUGUCUUCCUUGGAUAUCUAAAGGGUGUGAAGGGCUGUAGGCUCUGAUGUAUUGAUCUUAAACCACCCAGGUGCAUAGUUAGUAGAGAUGUGAUUUUCAAUGAACAGGAAAUGCUUAAGAGCUAUAUGCAGAAGCUUGAAAACUCAGACAAAAACACUAGUGUACUGAGAGAUCAGAUUAAGGUGGAGCUUACUGGAAAAUCUGGAGAUACAACUUCAUAUGAGACAUUAGAAGAUAAGGAAAGAGAUGCAGAAGAUUCUGAUGAAAUUUCAGAAAAACAAACAACAUUGCAUGAUUAUCAGCUGGCCAGGGAUAGAGAAGGGAGAGAGAUAAGGGUACCAAAGAAGUAUGCAUAUGCAGAUCUGAUUGCAUAUGUAUUAACAGCAGCUCAUGAACUGGAUUAUGAUGAACCUAAAACCUACAAGGAAGCUGUUUCAGGGAAAAAUGCGAACUAGUGGUUGAAAGCCAUGAAAGAAGAAAUGGAUUCUUUGUAUAAGAAUGACACCUGGACACUUGUGAAAAAACCAGACAAGAAAAAGGUGGUAGGAUGCAAAUGGGUGUACAAACUCAAGCAAGGUAUUACAGGAGUGGAACCAGUGAGAUUCAAAGCCAGACUUGUUGCAAAGGGCUUCACUCAAAAGGAGGGGAUUGACUUUACUGAGGUAUUUUCACCUGUAGUGAGGCAUGCCUCUAUAAGAAUCAUCUUGUCACUGGUGGCUGUAAACAACAUGCAUUUGGAACAAAUGGAUGUAAAAACAGCAUUCUUACAUGGGGAAUUACAAGAGUACAUAGUAAUGGCUUAGCCUGAAGGAUUCACAGUCAAAUCAAAGGCUGAUUGGGUUUGUCAUCUGAAGAAGUCUCUCUAUGGACUUAAACAAUCCCCAAGACAAUGGUACCUCAGGUUUGAUAGCUUUAUGUUAGAGCAGAAAUUUCAGAGGUGUAACUUGGACUGUUGUGUUUACUUCAAAGAAGAUUCAUGCAUGAUGGUUUAUCUGGUAUUGUAUGUAGAUGACAUGCUUAUUGCCAGUGUAAGCAUGAGCUUAAUUGAAAACCUGAAACAUAAGCUUAAAAGAGAAUUUGACAUGAAGGAUCUUGGUCCAGCAAAGAAAAUUCUGGGAAUGUAGCUACACAGGGAUAGAAAAGCUGGCACUUUGUUUCUCAGUCAGGAAGAAUACAUUAGAAGGGUAAUUGACAAGUUUGGAAUGGCAAACUCAAAGCCAGUUCAAACACCCUUAGCCCCUCAUUUCAGAUUAUCAGAUCAGUUGUGUCCAAAAACAGAAGCUGAAAUAUCUGAGAUGAUAAAUAUACCUUAUGCAAGUGCUGUAGGUUGCUUGAUGUAUGCUAUGGUCCUAACUAGGCCUGAUUUAUCCUAUGCUGUGAGUGUUGUAAGCAGGUAUAUGACAAACCUUGGAAAGGAACACUAGAGGGCUGUAAAAUGGAUUCUCAGGUACCUAAAUGGGACAGCAACAUAUGGGUUAAUGUAUGGAGGACAGAGACAAGAUGACAGUCAGAUUGUUGGUUAUGUGGACUCUGAUUAUGCUGGGGAUCCGGAUAGAAGAAGAUCACUUACAGGAUAUCUCUUCACACUCAACAACUAUACUGUCAAUUGGAAAGCUCAACUGCAGAGUGUUGUGGCACUUUCAACCACAGAAGUUGAAUACACAGCUGUUGCAGAAGCAGUUAAAGAAGCCAUCUGGCUGAAAAGAAUGCUUAAAGAACUUGGUGUUGAUCAGAGGUCGAUAAUGAUAAACUGUGACAGCCAAAGUGCUAUAUGUCUGAGCAAAAAUCAGACACAUCAUGAAAAGACCAAGCACAUCGAUAUCAAGUUGCAUUUCAUAAGACUAAAAGUGUUGAAAGCAACAGUGAAGCUGCAGAAGAUUCAUACAGACAAGAAUGUUGCAGAUAUGCUAACUAAACCAGUUAGAAUUAAGUGACAGAUAGUUGAAGAGAAGAGUAAUAGGUUCAUGAGGGUUUCAAGCUCAAGGUGGAGAAUGUUGAAGUGUGAGCUGUGAAACUGAUUUCCAGAGAUUCAUACGACAUGUCAGUUCGUGAUUGGUACAGAAUACGACUGGUCGGCUAAGAUCAUGCAAAGCCAUACGACAAAGCUGUUUGUUCAUCCAUAUGCGAAUAAGUCAAGCACGUGGUCGUCACAUGCUUAUACUUAUUCAAUACGACUUUGCUGAGUACCGUUUUAGAGCCUUUAUUCAACGUGAAGCAAACACGUGGCUCUGAAGGUCGUUAUUUUCUGUUACAAGAGCGGGAAGAUCUGGUUUUUAUUGACAGAAGAGAGCUGACUGGUGGGGGUAAUUUUUGGGCUCACUUAAGCAUGUAUAUAUAGCCUUAAGUGAUGUGGAAUCAGGGUGUGUAAUGCUUGUAACUUCAUCUAAAGACUUGUAUCUUGUUCCUGGUGAUUGAAUAAAGAUUGUUGCUCUGUUCUUCAGUGGAUGUAAGCCAACUCCAGGCUGAACCACUUAAAUCUGUUUUUUUUGUUGGUUGUUGUUCUUUAGUUCCUUUUGUGUAUCUUUUAUUGUUGCUUAAGAAUUUCUUAAUCAAGCAUCAGAGUGUUUAGAUAAAUCUUGGGAAUCUUGGUUGAUUUAAUUCGAUCAAGGUCUAACAAAUCCGAACAAUCAUACUAAUUGAAUCUAAAUUUUAGAAUAUCUUUUGCAUCUUGAGAGAAGAGUUUUCAAAAUUAUGAAGGAAUAUGUCCAUAAAAAUCUAAGAGACAACUCACUAAAACUUCGUGAAUUUACCUUUUUUAGGGCUUUUUUUUCCUUUUCACAAAAUUAAAGAUAAGGGUAUAUUUAUCUUCAAAUGUUGUUAGCGGUAGUAUAUUUUUGAACCAAUCUUAAAUAAAACUUGAAAUCCCAAUAAAUUUCUGUAGAUUAUUACAAUAAAAAAAAAGUGCCGCAAUCUACACUAUCAUUUAUCGAAGGCUUUAUGUACACAAAAAUAAAGAAUGAACAAGAACAUGUAAAAUCAAUGUAGAUUCAUGGAUUACCUGCCAUCUGCAAUCAUAUUAAACUUCUAAUCAUUAAUUUCAUUGUCUAUUACGUUAAAUGCAAACACUAAAUAAAGUCGAUCUAAUUUGUUGAAAACCUAUAAAUUGCAUUAAUAAUAGCCUUUUUUUAUGUCUCCUUAUCAUAUCAAUUUCAAUGUAAAUCUUUCCACCAUCCCCAAUAAACCAUGUACCAUUUCCAUGAUAAUUCAAUAUCAAGAAAACUUCAUAUGAUUUAGCAUAUCACAUGCCCUAUCAAUCAAGGUCAACCUUCUAGACGAACUUUUUUUUUUAAUGAAAAAGUAAAGCUUUCAUUACUUCAACCCGGUGAAUACAUGUCUAAUCUUAGGUGGGAAAUUUUCCACCCAUACAAAAGAUUCCAACUUUUCCAAUGCUAUUUUAGCUAAAAGAUGGGCACUAGUAUUACAAGCUCUGGGCACAUAUUUUGUUUUGAAAGAACUGAAGGUUUUCUUUAAGCUUUGAAUUUCUGAAAUAGUCCAACAUAUCUCUGUUAAACUCCUUUCUCUAUCGUUUAUCGAAUCUACUACUUCUUGAGAGUAUGUUUCCAGAAUUAUUGAUUGCAUACCCAUCUAAUGGGCUAUUUGCACUCCCCAUUCAGCUGCUUCUGCCUCCACACUUGACACCUCUCCGUUGAACUUUACAUUUUUUAUGCCUGCAGCUAUGCAUUUUCCAGUAGAGUCUUUUAUUAUUGCACCUAAUCCAGCAUAACUCUUAUUUGAAUCAGUAGCUGCAUCAACAUUGAUCUUUAGCCAUCUAUGGGGUGGGAGAGUCCAGACUGUUUUCUUUAUCUUCUAUAAUUUUUCUUCAUUCGUAAUCUCUGGAAACUAAGUUCUUCUGAAAGCCUUAUUAAUUGCUUUAGCUUUGGCCAUUGAUAAUCUUGGGUCUAACUUCAAAUCUUCACAAACAAAUUGGUUUCUAUCAUACCAGAUCACCCAAAGGAUAUUCAUCAUCAUUUCCAUGUCAGCUCUACUUAGCUUCUUCUGUAAUCUCAUUAAGUCUCCUAAAAUAUCAGGAUUUCCCAUUUCCUGAAAGGAACUUGCCAGAGGUGAGAGUUGCCAAACUUUCUUUGCAGCUUUACAAGUAAUCAGAGCAUGCAUGGUGUUUUCCACUCUAUUUCCACAUUGUUUGCAGUAGGCCUCAUGAACAAUCUUUCGCUUCCACAAAUUUUCAGCUGUGGGCAAUAAAUUUUUUACUACCCUCUAGAUGAAAAUCUUGAUUUUGGCCGGGAGAGUGAGCUUUCAAAUAAAACUCUAGUUACUAUUACUACUAUUAGAGCAAUUAGGAGAAUCUGGAAAUUUUAAAUUUAGAGCCACUUGGUAUCCACUUUUCACUUUAUAUUUCCCUCUUUUAUCGUUGUGCCAGAUUACUUUAUCUUCAUUUUGUCUUCUAGGCAAGGGAAUGCUUAGAAUGGCUUCUGCAUCUUCCUUCACAAAGUUCUGCUGAAUCAGAUUUGUCUUCCAAUUAUUUUCGUUAUCUACCAGCACUGAAGCAUCUUUAUUCUAGAAAGAGGCUUGAAUGUUGAUGGUCUUGGAAUCCAGUUGCCUCUGUACACUGAAAUUGUCUCCCUAUUUCUUAUUCUCUACCUAUAUCCAUUGUGAAUUAUCUGCCUUCUGUUGAGUGUUAGAAAAUGUAUAUUUAUAAAGGGGAAAUCGUCAUUUUAUACUUCAAGUUUUACUAACAUUAUUACUUUUAUAUAUUUAAGCUUUUUGUGAUUUAAUUAUGUGUGUUUUAUUUUAAUUAAGUAUUUUAUAUAUUUUAGGGGCAUCAUGGUCAUUUUACAAUGAACGAUAGCUCAGACGACAGAACGAGAGCUCAGACUUUUGAACUCAGGACAGUCGAAAACUUUAGGAGGAGCAUAAAAAGAAAAAUGGCACUGUUCACAUAUAUGAUACUAUUCACAUGUACGGUACUGUCCAUAUUACUGUUCACACAUACGGAACGAUGACGUGGAAUUGUCCGAUGAUGUGGCAUUGACUGAUGAGGUGUCACGAUUCCAUUGGAGAAAAUUCUUAUGCACUGUUGAUCGGUGACGUGGCAGCAUGUUAGUGGACCAAAAAUCGCGCGUACAGUACAAUAGAUUCGUGCGCUUGCGAGUUCAAUAAAAUUUGCACAACAAGUUUUUGGCGCCGUUUCCGGGGAGGUAAGUUAUUUUAAUUUGUAGAAUUAAUUUUUGUAAAUAAUUUCUUUUAAUUGUUUUCUUGUAAUUUUUUUCUUAUUAAAAAAAAGAGUAAAUCUGCAUUUAGAGGUAAGAAUUUCUUUUCAUUUUCUCUUCUUUAAAUUUUUGUAAUUUAAUUUUUAAGUUAUUUUUCUUUGUAAUUUUUCGUUUAUCUUAUUAAUUUAUUUCACAUAUUUUUUAGUGUUUUUUUUAUAGAAAGAUUUUAAUAGUGUAAUAAGGUUAGUACCGUAAUUUCUCCUUCUUUUUUAUUUUUAUUUAUUUUGUUUCCAUUUAUUUUUCUGUUCUUUGCAUGCAUGGUCGAAGGUCAUUAUUACCUAAUCUUGAACCUAUAGACCUUGAACUUAAAAAAACAUUUCGCACACACAAACACGUUAAAAAAAAUGGAUUUGCAACAACAACCAGCACCACAGGAGAGGCCAUUUAAGGACUAUUUCAGUCCCUUAGCUAAUUUGAGCACAUCAUGCAUAAGAUACCCAAAUGUAGCUGUUAGGAAUUUUGAAUUAAAACCUAGUGUGCUAAAUUGUCUCCCAACAUUCUAUGGCCUAGAAAAUGAGGACCCAUAUAAUCAUUUGAAUGAUUUUCAUGCUGUUUGUCAAACAUUUAAAUAUGAGAAUUUUUCAGAUGAUUAUGUUAAACUCAGAUUAUUCCCAUUUCUUUAAAGGAUAAAGCUCGUUCAUAUCUCAAUACAUUGCCUGCUAAUAGCAUUAUAUCAUAGGAACAAAUGGUAACAAAAUCUUUGAAUAAAUAUUUCCCAGUGCAUAAAACCAAUGUUAUUCACAGGGAAAUCUCAGAGUUUACCCAGAGAGAAGACGAGCAGUUUUUCGAAACAUGGGAGCGAUUCAAUGAGCUACUCUUGAAGUGUCCACAUCAUGGGUAAGAGAAAUGACACCAAUGCUAAUACUUUUUGAAGGGAUUAUUGCCGCAUGUGUAAGAAUGGCUAAUGGCAACAAGUGGAGGAGAGCUAAUGUCAAAAAGUGCAUAAGAGAUUUGUGAAUUCUUUCAGCGACAAGCAGAUAAUUCCCAAUAACGGAGUCGAUCACUCAAGAAUACUAAAAGAAUUAAAGGAGUGAAUGAGGUUAACGUUGGUGAGUCAAGUUCGGAAAUUAAAGAAGUCAAAGAAAUGGUUGAAGGUCUCUCGAAAAAUAACAUCAUUAACGAUUGCUAAAUCAACAGAACCACAUGACCAUGACAAAACCAUCAAAUUACAACCCAUACUCCAACACAUAUAACCCUAGAUGGAGAGUCCACCCCAAUUUUUCAUGGUCUCAAGGAUUCCAACAGAAUGGACUAGCAGCUCUAGCUCCACCAAUGCAACCAAUUCCUCAAGUUCCUCAAGCCUCUUAGCCCCCAUUUAGACCAUACUAUCAGAACUAGAACUAAUCUCAACCCAGACCAUGGGAGGAUUCAUUCCAGAAUCUCAAGAAUCUUAAGAAUCUUACUCACUCCACGAUCGAGCAACAGAACCGCACCAUUGAUGAACUACGAAAUGAGAUAAGAGCAGUCUUCAACUGACAAGCCCAAUCAGUUUCAAGCCUCGAGAAGAUGGUGGGACAGCUUGCUUCUUCAGUUCAGACCUUGACAAUGACUGUUGAGAAAGACAAGUUUCCAAGUCAACCAGUGCCUAAUCCUAAAAGAGUGCAUGAAACAAGUAUUAAUUCACCACAGCAGCACGGAGAGGUCGAAGCUGUCAUGAACUUGCGAAAAGGAAAAGAAGUCGACAACAAAAUAGAGAUGUCGGUGACGAAAACAAAUCAAAUUGUACCUCUAAAUGUUGAAAACUCACCACUGGAGGAGAAAGAAGAAACCAACCCACGAGAAUAUGUUCCGAAAUCUCCAUUUCCUCAUAGGUUAGCUAAGGGAAAGAAAGGAAAAUCCACAGGUGAGAUUCUUGAAAUCUUCAAACAGGUAAGUGUUAACAUCCCUUUACUUGAUGCUAUAAAAUAAGUUCCAUCUUAUGCCAAGUUUCUUAAAGACCUUUGUACUAAAAAGAGAAACAUCCAUGUUUAAAAGAAGGUCUUUUUAACAGAAAAAGUUAGUUCUAUACUCCAACACAAAAUUCCUCUAAAAUGCAAAGACCCAGGCUCCCCCACUAUCUCAUGUAGCAUAGGAAACCACACAAUUGAGAAUGCUUUGUUGGAUUUAGGAGCUAAUGUAAAUCUGUUGCCUUAUUCAAUAUUUAUAAAACUUGGACUGAGAGAAUUACACCCAACUCCAGUGGUGUUACAACUUGCAGAUCGGUCUAGAAAAAUAUCUCGUGGUAUUGUGGAGGACGUGCUUGUCCAGGUAGACAAGUUUUAUUUUCCUAUUGAUUUCAUUGUAAUUAACACUUAACCAAUCCAGGAUUCAAGGAAGCACAUCCCCAUUAUCCUAGGCCGACCUUUCUUGGCAACUACGGAUGCUCACAUUCAAUGCAGAACUGAAAAUAUGCAGUUGUCUUUUGGCAACAUGACUAUGGAGCUAAACAUUUUCAACAUUGCCAAACAACCUCACAAUGCAGAUGAUGGAAUUGUUGAUGUGGAUUUAAUAGAAACAUUAGUUGAUAAUACUUUUCUUUCAAACCUUAGUGAUAACCUUUUACAAACAUGCUUAAUUUACUUUGGUUUGGAUUUUGAUAUUAACAGAUCGGUCGAUGAGGUCAGCACCCUACUUGACUUAGCACAAUCCAUUGACACUAAUAAAUGGAAGUCAAUAGUUGAACAACUAGCACCAUUAGAGAAGAAACUCAUCCCAUCAUUAGAAUCACCACCGAAACGCGAGCUCAAACCAUUACCCAACACUUUAGAACAUGUGUUUUUGGGAGAAGAAAGUACUCUGCCGGUAAUCAUCUCAUUAUCCCUAAACGACGAACAAAAAAGUAAGUUGUUGGAUAUUUUAAAAGAACACAAAGGAGUAUUAGGAUGGACCACAGCUGACAUAAAAAAGGUAUAAAUCCAGUAUACUGAAUGCAUUAUCUUCACCUUGAUGAAAAUACUAAACCUACUAGAGAAAUGCAACGUCUGUUAAAUCAUAAUAUGAAAGACGUUGUUAGAACUUAAGUCCUUAAGCUAUUAGACGCAUGUAUCAUUUACCUCAUUUCUGAUAGUUUAUAGGCCAAUCUUGUACAAGUUGUCCCCAAAAAGUUAGAAGUCACAAUAGUUACAAAUGCUGAUAAUGAAUUGAUACCCACUAGAGUGACUACAAGAUGUCGUGUAUGCAUUGAUUAUAGAAAGUUGAAUUCUGUCAUGCGUAAAGACCAUUUUCCUUUACCAUUUAUCGAUCAAAUACUUGAUAGAUUAGCAGGUCAUGAAUUGUAUUGCUUCCUAGAUGGCUACUCAUGAUAUAAUCAGAUUCACAUAGCACCAAAAGAUCAAGAAAAUACCACUUUCACUUGCCCUUUUGGCACUUUUGCAUAUAGGAGGAUGCCAUUUAGAUUAUGUAAUGCACCUACUACAUUUCAACGAUGUAUGUUAAGCAUUUUUUUCUGAUAUUGUUGAACGAUUCCUAGAAGUAUUUAUGGAUAAUUUUUCUCUCUUUGGUGACUCGUUUGAUCAAUGUUUACAUCGUCUAACACUAGUUCUGUAGAGAUGUAUUGAGAAGAACUUAGUCUUAAAUUGAGAGAAGUAUCAUUUUAUGGUAAAAUAAGGUAUUGUUCUUGGUCACAUCAUUUCAAGCAAAGGUAUUGAGGUUGACAAAGUCAAGGUAGAUCUCAUUUAUAAUAGUCCUCCACCCAAAACAGUAAGAGAAGUAAGAUCUUUCCUUGGGCAUGCUGGUUUUUAUAGACGUUUCAUUAAAGAUUUUAGCAAAGUUUCUAGACCCUUAUGCAAUCUAUUUUAGCAAAGUUUCUAGACCCUUAUGCAAUCUACUUGCUAAGAAUGUACAUUUUAUCUUUGAUGAUUCAUGUCUUGUGGCGUUUAAAAAAUUGAAGCAGUUGUUGACAUCAUCACCCAUCAUUCAACCUCAAACUGGAGCUUACCAUUUGAGCUCAUGUGUGAUGCAUCUGAUUAUACAGUAGGACCAGUAUUAAGACGAAGAGUUGAUCGACUUCGUCAUGUUAUUUAUUAUGCUAGUAUGACAUUAAAUGAUGCACAUUUGAAUUAUUCAACUACUGAAAAAGAAAUGCUAGUAGUGUGNNNNNNNNNNNNNNNNNNNNNNNNNNNNNNNNNNNNNNNNNNNNNNNNNNNNNNNNNNNNNNNNNNNNNNNNNNNNNNNNNNNNNNNNNNNNNNNNNNNNNNNNNNNNNNNNNNNNNNNNNNNNNNNNNNNNNNNNNNNNNNNNNNNNNNNNNNNNNAAAAAGGCGCAGAAAAUGUCGUGGCUGACCAUCUCUCUCGUCUCCAUUUUGACACAAUUACAGAACCAUUAACAUUGAAUGAGUCAUUCCCAAAUGAACAAUUGAUGAGUGUGGAAGUAUUACCAUGUUAUGCUGGCAUCGUGAAUUAUCUUGUUACAGGUCAACUUCCAGAGCAUUGGACCAAGCAAGACAAAGCCAAUUUUUUUGUGGAAAUAAAAAAUUUCUUUUGGGAUGACCCUUAUCUGUUCAAGUAUUGUGCAGAUCAAAUUGUUAGAUGAUGUGUCCCAGAAAGUGAAAUUUAGAAUAUUCUUUCAUUCUGCCAUGAACAAGCUUGUGGAGACCAUUUCCGUGCUAAAAAAAUAACUAUUAAAGUUUUACAAUGUGGUUUCUAUUGGCCAACUAUAUUUCGAGAUGCUUACACUUUUUGUUCUUCAUGUGAUAGGUGUCAACGAAUGGGGAGCAUUACAUGAAGGAAUAUGGUGCCACUAAAUUCAAUUUUAGUAGUUGAGUUUUUUUAUGUAUGGGGUAUCGACUUCAUGGGAUAUUUUCCCCCUUCUUUUGGCAAUUAAUACAUAUUGGUUGCUGUUGACUACGUACCGAAAUGGGUAGAAGCAAUUCCAUGUAGAACCAAUUAUCACAAGGUGGUGAUAGAAUUUUUGAGAAGCAACAUUGUUUCACGCUUUGGAUUCCCUCGAGCAAUAAUCAGUGAUGGUGGUGCCCACUUUUGUAACAAAGCAUUCAAAACUCUUUUGACGAAGUAUUCAAUCACUCACAAAGUGGCGACCCCAUAUCAUAUACAAACUAGUGGUCAAGUUGAAAUCUCCAAUCGAGAAAUAAAGCACAUAUUAUAAAAGACGGUGAGGUCGGACAUAAAAGAUUGGUCAUUAAGACUCGAUAAUGCAUUAUGGACAUAUAGAACAGCUUUCAAGACCCCGAUUGGGAUGUCACCCUACAGGCUAGUGUAUGAAAAAGCUUGCCACUUACCUGUGGAACUCAAGCAUUGUGCAUACUGGGCCAUCAAGAAAUUCAACUUUGACAUGUAGCAAGCUAGCUCAGAAAGAAGAUUACAGCUGACAGAACUUGAAGAAAUUCGCACUGAUACAUACGAAAAUGCCAAGAUUUACGAACAGCAAAUGAAAGUUGUUGAGUGUUAGAAAAUGUAUACUUAUAAAGGAGAAAAUUAUCAUUUUACAUUUCAAGUCUUACUAACAACCCUCACUUUUAUGUAUUUAAGGUUCUUGUAAUUUAAUUAUGUGUGUUUUAUUUUAAUUAAGUAUUUUAUAUAUUUUAGGGGCAUCAUAGUCAUUUCACAAUAAACGAGAGAUCAGAUGGCAAAACGGACAUCACUUUUGAACUCAGGACGGUCGAAAACCUUAGGAGGAGCAUAAAAGGAAAAAUGACACUGUUCACAUGUACGGUACUAUUCACAUGUACGGUACUGUAUACGUUACUGUUCACGGCACUGUUCGAUGACGUGGCAUUGACCGAUGAUGUGGCAUUGACUGAUGAAGUGUCACGAUCCUGUUGGACUAAAAAUCUUAUGUACUGUUGAUGGUGACGUGGCAGCAUAUUAGUGGACCAAAAAUCUCGCGUACGGUACAUGCAUCACACAGGAUUAUUUUCAACCAAACUGCGUCACUAUUCACCCGAGUCAAACCGUGUUACUGUUCAUCCGCGUGGUCAAACCGCGUACUGUUCACGCGUGUUGUUGACUGAUAACGUGGCGAAAUCCUGAGCGUCCAAACUGUUUUUAAUCCGAUGGCCAUGAUUUACUCCAUGUAUCUAUAAAAAGGGGGCCUCCCCCUCUAAUUUGAUAUCUCUGAAUCCAUUUUUGAGAUCCAUUUUCUAUAAUUCCCUCUCCAUCUUGUAUUUUCUUUGUAUUUUAAUAAAUUUCUAUUUUGCCCCUAGUUUAAUUAUGAGUGGCUAAUUUUCUUUCAAGCUUGGGUUGAAGGUAAAGUCUCAACAUGUGUCAUGGGCUUUAUUUGGUAAAUUUAUUUUCUCUUCCCCUCUAGUUUUUAUGGAUGUUUUGACUUCUCGUCGACAAAUAAUACUAAUCUUGUCUAGUACCGCCUUGGUUUCACCGGCCCUCUAGUACAAGGUUAUUAUUAUUUGGCACGAUAAGCACUUAGCAUCAUAUUGAUUAGAGGGUGGUUCAUGAGGUGUGGAUUCCCCCCUCAUGAUUUAAUUGGCAUUAAUAAGGAUUAUUUAGUCCAUGAUGCAUGUUGAUACGGAUCCAGAUACCUAAGUACGUCAUUUCAAUAGAAUUCUCUUAAAUUUAUUCUCACCAUUUCAAUACCAAUUUUAGAAUUUAUUCUCGCCAUUUUAAUUUAAGUUUUAGUAUAUUGCAAAUCAUUUCCACCACAAAUCCAAUUACUCAUUCACAAAAUUAAUUCUACACAAUUAAAAUCCACCUCCUCGUGGGAUCGAUACUCGUCACCAUUGAUCUAUACUACAAUAGAUUCGUGCGCUUGCGAGUACAUUAAAAUUUACACAACAAAAGUCUUUCAUGACAAGCAAAUUAUGAGAAAAUCUUUGACUCUAGGUCAGAAAGUGCUUUUAUUCAAUUCUCGCUUGCACCUAUUCCCAGGUAAGUUAUGCUCUCGAUGGUCUGACUCCUUUAUUGUUCACACUGUUUUUCCACAUGGGCAAUUGAAAUUAAGGACCCAAAGAAUGGUGUCACGUUUAAAGUUAAUGGUCAAAGAUUAAAGGUAUAUCUAGAGUACCAACCACAUGGAGAGAACACCGAAAUAAAUUUGAGCGACCCACCAGAUUUGAAUUGAGUUUUUUUCUUUCUUUUCGGUGAUUUAUUUUUUUAUUUAUUUUUACUAUUCUUUUGGUAAUUGAAAUUAUUUUUCCAUAAGUGUGUUUGUUUAACCAUUAAGUUUUCUUUUAUCAUUACUAAUCAUGAGUGCCAUAGCUAAACAAUUCCUCUUGGACAUUCUUAGACCACUUCAACGUGUAAAAUCUCAUUUCAAAAGGCAGAUUCGAUUUUGUAAAACACAUCAUAUUUGGGCUCUGCAACCACCAGAGUUAGUAUCCCAUGUUGAGGAUUUAGAAAGUCAACUUAGAGACAUUGAGAGAGAUGUCUACAACAUCCAGUUGGAGCUUGAGGUAAAUUCAAUAAGAGGACGAUUGUAAUUUUCUUUAUGUGUUUUAACUUAUUUUUCUUUGUUUGUGUGCUUUAGUUUGUUACCCCGAUGAAUUGGCAGAUAACAGUACUCCGUGAUAAUCAAGUCGGUUACUUUAGUUUCUCAUAAUAACUAAUCUUCUGAGGCAAAUGUAUGGACAGAAACGAGAUUCUAGUAAAUCUUCACAAUCGAUUCCUUUCACUUCCUCAGAAUGCCCUCCUUACAAUCUAUAAAGCUCGGUAUGAACGCAUGCGAUUGCUGAUGAGGAAUAACAUACCUGCUGAUAUCCGCUGGUUAAUCAAGGCAAAAGUACAAGUGGCAGGUGAGUUGCCUCCUAAAUUUAUUGCAUACAUGCCUAGUUGUGGUAAUGGAAAUUAUGCAAGAAAACAAAGAGGUCGAAGAAUUUCAGUUGCUUGUCAUAAGUGUGCCAGAAUGAGAUGCGAUAAAAAAUCAUGUUCUUUAGGAAUGGUGUCUGAUAAUAGAGAAGAUAAAAUUAAAUUCAUUACGGAUGACUUGAAUAAUGAGUCAUUGGAUGAUAUCCUUUUGUCUCUUGAAACACACCCCAGUGGAUAUGUACAAGGAGCGAUUCUCCAGCUAUAACCAUUAUUCUAGAAAGAGAAUACACGAUAUAGUGUCGGGAAUCUGACUAUAAACGACCAUGUUUGCCAGUUUAUAAGAAAACUGGAUGGGAAGUCUAUCCUCGACCCAUAGAGGGCGUUCAAGUCGUUUCUGGACGUAAAACCAGAGGAAGAUGUGAGCCACAGUCGCAACUACCUGUAAAUAUCUUUUUAUUUCACUGUUAUUUUAUUUCACUGUUGUUUUAUCAUUUGCAUUAUUGUCUUUAAUAAUUUUAUUUUAUCAUUUUUUCUUUUUACUGUUUGCUUUUUGACUCUCAAGCCAUGUGUUGUACGCAUUAAUUGACAUUGACAUGCUACCUCAUACAUAGCUAUGACCCACUGUCACCAAGAUCCUUAAAUAUAAUUUGUUUUGUUUAGCACUCACAAAUUAUUUUUGAGAAGUAUCCCAAUGGCAGCUACUCCAAAUAAACAAUUCAAAAACAUUUGUGUGCUUUCUAGAUUUAAUUAUGGCAAACAUAAAGAGUUCAUUGAGGCAGCCAUAGAUCUUGGUAGAAGUAUAGCAGAGAGAAAACUACAAUUAUGGCAAACAUCUUGGGCCCAUCUGCAUAUUCACCAAAAACUCAUCGGUUUGUUAAAUGUUAAUAACUUUUAUGAUGGCUCUAUCGCAUUUCUUAACCAUGCAAUAAAAAACUAUUUUAUUCCUUCCACAGCGAAAAAGCUUUUUAUUUGUGCUCAUACUGCUAAUGAGCUACUUGAUCUGUUACAAACUUAUCGACCAGAACCAGAUCCCAGGACCUUGGUGUUAGAGUUUCCAAAUAAUGAUGGUAACAGUAGCCGCAGUAAGAAGUACAAAUUAGAUUUAACUCUCCGCCUGUAAAUAUUUUCUUCUAUGUUACACCACCCAGGUGAUGUCUUCUAAACUCUACUUCUUUCCUUUAAAAUAUUGAGGACAAUGUUUCAUUCUAAUUGGGGGGAGGGAAUAAUCGACAAUUGUGGAAUCUUGGUUAAGUUUUUACUAAUUUUUUGUUGUAGAGACUAACCGUAGCUAACUUUUUGUGUUGAAGAUGGCUGAAUAUGGAAUGUAAUUACUCUAGAAACGAAUUUUCUUCGUUUAAAAAAAAUAAAAUAAUAAUAAUAAUAAUGUUGUUUGAAAAAAAAUUGUGUGAUUUGUUUUAACAUUGGAUGACAUGAUGAAUUUUAAAAUUUAGUAUUUAUAUUAUCUUUGGUCUUAAGAGAUGUUACGCCAUAUUUGCUACUCUACAUGUUGAUGUCGGAGACAAAUAUGAGUUGCUUGAAGGAAUAAACAUGUCAUAAUAAGUACCAAGUGAGUUUUGGAGCCUAUCAUUUUUCUUGGAGAGUAACCAUUUUGCUCAUUCUUCAUACAACUUAGUAGUUUAUUAUUUUAUACACGAUCUCUAUAUUUCUUUUGAAUUAACCUUUAAAACAAUUUGUAAAAUUAAAAAAAAAGAAAAAAAAAUGUGUGUUGCUACAUCUAGAGGCUCAUCUAACUAGUAGAUAUGGAAGAUUAUUUAGAGCUUUAAAAGACGAUGGAAAAGCCAUCUUUGAUCCGUUUGAGCCUUUGUAGCUAUCCCUUUUAUGAAAUAUUCAUAGUUAACCCUUUAAAGCCUUUAAAAAAAAACUUUUUUUUUUGUCAAACUUAUCAUCUUGACCCACUCCGAUUUGGAGUAUUACCCGAUAUCUUACAAGUUCCAUCACCUAUUUAUUUUGAGAAAAAUGUAAAUAAUUAUGUUGUUCAGUGAAGUUGUGCCAAACAAAAGCAAAACAAAAAACAAAAAAAAAUUGUUGUUUCAAAAAAAAAGAAAAAAAUAACAAUAAUAAGUGAAAUCUACCUUACAACUUCCAAAAAAAAAAACUCUACAUUUUUCUUAAACAUAUACUUUGUUUUCCUUAUUUCCCCUCCUUUGUUAGCCAUAUCCUUAGCCUACAUUACGUCUUAAUAAAAGACCUUCUUGAUUUUAGGGAACUAUAGUCUGAAGUAGAAGCUAGUUAUAUGGGCUAAAAAGAUAUAGUGAUGCAUAAAAAAAAGAUAAAAAUAAAUAAAUUGGGUUUACUAGCAUUUUUAUUUGACUUGAGAUCGUAUUAUUUUUAAGUUGAGGGUAUAUUUCUUUCAUCUUGUUGAAAGCGUGUGAUAUCACUUCUUUAUUAUUUUCUCUCAAUUACCAUUCAUUGGAGUGACUAUUUUUAUUGAGUUUAAUUUCUUUGUGAGAGUGUCACUAUUUCCAAUGAGAUUUUGAGGUUUAACAUGUCAUUCUUGAAAGUAGCUAUGACAAAGUCUACUGGGCUGAUUCAUAUGGAUGGUUGUUAUGUGUGUGAUGUUUCUUUAGACUGGAGAUAAUUCUUAUACUUUUAUUUGAUUACUAUCAUUAGUCUGAUUGAAUAAACAUAAUUGUUAAAAAAAAAAUCAUUUUGGAUUUGAAUUUUGUUUUCGCUUUAUUUGCUAGGGACUGGCAAUAAGCUGGUUGGGGGGUAUAUUGAGUGUUAGAAAAUAUAUAUUUAUAAAGGAGAAAAUCGUCAUUUUAUACUUCAAGUUUUACUAACAUUCUUACUUUUAUGUAUUUAAGUUUCUUGUGAUUUAAUUAUGUGUGCUUUAUUUUAAUUAAGUAUUUUAUAUAAUUUAGGGGCAUCAUGGUCAUUUCACAAUGAACUAGAGCUCAAACGACAAAACGGACAUCACUUUUUGACUCAGGACAGUCGAAAACCUUAAGAGGAGUAUAAAAAGAAAAAUGGCAUUGUUCACAUGUACGAUACUAUUCACAUGUACAGUACUGUCCAUGUUACUGUUCACGACACUGUUUACACAUAUGGAACGAUGACGUGGCAUUGACUGAUGAUUGUGGCAUUGACUGAUGAGGUGUCAUGAUUCCAUUGGAGAAAAUUCUUAUGCACUGUUGAUCGGUGAUGUGGCAGUAUGUUAGUGGACCAAAAAUCACGCAUACGGUACAUGCAUAUACACAGGAUUAUUUUCAAUUAAACCGCAUCACUGUUCAAGCCGGUUGACUAUUCAAACCAUGUGGUCAACCCGUGGCACUGUUCAAACCGCGUACUGUUAACUGAUGACGUGGCGAAAUCCUGAGCGUCCAAACUAUUUUUACUCUGAUGGCCAUGAUUUACUCAAUGUAUCUAUAAAAAGGAGGCCUCUCCCCCUAAUUGGACAUCUCUAAAUUUAUUUUUGAGCUCAAUUUUCUCUAAUUCAUUCUCCAUCUUGUAUUUUCUAUGUAUUUUAAUAAAUUUCCAUUUUGCCCCUAGUUCAAUUAUGAGUAGCUAAUUUUCUUUCAAGCUUGGAUUGAAGGUGAAGUCUCAACAUGUGCCAUAAGCUUUAUUUGGUAAAUUUAUUUUCUCUUCCCCUCUAAUUUUUAUGAAUGUUUUGACUUUUCGUCGACAAAUAAUAAUAAUCUUAUCCAGAUAUUGUCCUGGUUUCACUGGCUCCCUAGUACAAGGUUAUUAUUAUUUGGCACGAUAAGCCCUUAGCACCAUAUUGAUCAGAGUGUGGUUCAUGAGGUGUGAAUUCCCCCUCAUGAUUUAAUUGGUACUAAUAAGGAAUAUUUAGCUCAUGAUGCAUGUUGAUAUAGAUCCAGAUACUCAAGUGCUUUAUUUCAAUAGAUUUCUCUUCAAUUUAUUUUGGCCAUUUUAAUUUAAAUUUUAAAAUAUUUCAAAUCAUUUUCACUACAAAUUCAUCCACCGAUUUGGAAAAUUAAUUCUACACACAAUUAAAAUCAACCUCCUCGUGGGAUCGACACUUGUCACCAUUGAUCUAUUCUAUAAUAGAUUCGUGCGCUUGCGAGUUCAAUAAAAUUUGCACAACACCUUCCCCACAUUAUGCUCCUCCAAAUAUAGGAUGGAUUUGACCUUAUGGAAACUCCAAGAAAAUCAGUCAUUAGGAAAUACCUUGCCUUUAGUACUCUAGCUGCUAAGGAUUUCAGAUUUUGAAUUAUUCUCCAACCUUGUUUCGUAACUAAGGCUUGGUUGAAACUUGAUAUGUCUCUGAACCCCAUCCCUCCUCUAAUCUUGGCUCUACUCAUUUCCUCUCAUCUUGUCCAGGGAAUGCCUCUCUUUUCUUUCUUCUUGCUCCACCAAAAACCAGCAUUAUUUCUUUGAAUGUCAUCACAGAGCCCCACGGGAAUCUUAAAGACACUCAUAGCAUAAGCUGGUACAGCUUGUGCCACAACUUUGAUCAAGACUUCUUUCCCCCCACUCAAGAAGAGUUUUUGCUGCCAAUUAGAUAUCUUGCUCUGAAUUUUCAGUUUGAUCUCAUUGAAAAAAGUCUUCUUUUUUCUCCCGAUCAUAGAUGGUAGCCCUAGAUAUUUCUCGUGUCUUGACAUCACAUUGAGCUGGAAAAUUCUUUCAAUGUCUGAGGCCUGCUUUGCUGGAGCAUUUCCACUAAAAAACAUGCAUGACUUAUUAUAAUUGAAGAUUUGCCCAAAAGCUUUAGCAUAGCACUCAAAGAUGUUUUUCAAGUGCUGGCAGUCUUUGGUUAAAGCUUGAGAGAAAAUCAAGCUGUCAUCUGCCAAUAAAAGAUGAGAAAUGGAUAUUUAUUGCCCAAAUCUCAGCCCCUAAAUUUAUUUUUUCCUCUCAGCUUGUAUCAAUAAAUUUGAAAACGCUUCAGCACAUAUUAUAAAACAAAUAUGGGGAUAGAGGGCAGCCUUGCCUCAAACCCCUUUGAGGGGGUAAUCAUCCCCUGAGGAACUCCAUUGAUGAUUAUAGAAAAGGUUGGAGAAGUAAUACAAUUCAUUAUCAGAUUAACGACCUUCUCCUCAAAGCCUAAUCUACCCAUUGUCAACCUUAAAAACUCCCAUUCCACUCCGUCAUAAGCUCUACUUAUGUCUGACUUCAGAGCCACCAAUCCCCUUUUUUUUUUCCUUUGCUAUGUCUAAUCUUGUGAAGGCAUUCAUACUCAACAAUGAUAUUGUCGGUUAUCAAUCUGUUGGAAAUGAAUGCGCUUUGAGAAACAUCAAUGACAUCAUGCAAAAUAAUUUUCAAUCUAUUUGCCACUGUUUUGUCAAUGAUUCUAUAGAUUACAUUGCAAAGGCUUAUUGGUCUGAAUUGCGUCACUUUCUUAGGCUUGGCACACUUUGGAAUUAGAGCAAUAUAGGUGUGGUUUAACUGGGUAAUUGUACUUGUGUUAUUAAGGAUGUGAAGGCAUAUAGAGAUAACUCCUUCCUUUACAUAUUUCCAAUACUUCUGAUAGAAAGCAGCAGGUAACCCAUCCGGUCCGGGAGCCUUAGUUGGACACAUUUGAGCCAGGGCUUCUAUAAUCUCCUCUUUUGUGUAGGGUUGACUCAUGUCUGUGUUCAUUUCUGGUGACACUUUUGGCCUCAUUCCUCUUAGAGCAUCUUCCAUCUGAUCUUUGGUGGGGUUGGAAGUUAAGAAUAAGUCUGUAAAAUACUCACAAAAUUGUUUAGCAAUUUCACCAGUCUCUUUGAUCUAAUUACCGUGAGCAGCUUUUAUUCUCUAGAUUUUAUUUUUUUUCUCUUUCUAGAUGAGGCUUUGAGAUGAAAAAAUUUCAAAUUUUUAUCUCCCUCUCUAAGCUAAUCCGCCGUGGACCUCUGCUUUCAAUAAAUCUCUUCAUCCAGCAGGAGAUGGUGGAUCUGUCUUUCAUACCUCCAUUUGUGUUGCUGAAGGUCCUUGAUUCUGUUGACCAGCUUUUCAAGCUUCUUUUUAUUGCCUUCAAAAGUCCUUUUGCUCUAGUGUAUGAGUUUUGCAAGUGAAGCAGUGCUGACAUGCUUAAAGAGCUUAACUACAUCAGUCCCCUCCCACUUACCAUGCUUGGACCAUUCCUCCUCAACAAUUUCUUGGCACUCAUUAUAAGAGCUCUAUAAAUCCUCGUAGUGAGUUCGAGAGAAACAUUUCCUCUUGUAUGCCCUUAUUUAUCUUUGCUCUUUACAGCCAUUAAUAUUGGGUUGUGAUCAGAACACGAUGUAACUAAAUUAGUUGCAGCUUGGUCCUGGAAGAAAUUUGACCAAUCGUUGCUGCACAUGAAUCUGUCUAAUUGUUCCUUAAUGAAGUGGGUUCCAAACCUCCUAUUGGACCAUGUGAAUGGGUAACCAUUGCAGCCCAAAUCUCUAAUAUUACAAUCUUGGACAGCUUCUCUAAAAUCUGUGAUCAUACUAAGUUCCCUAUCGUUCCCCCCAUUUUUCUCAUUGAAGUGCAUAAUUUCAUUAAAAUCACCGAAACAAAGCCAUGGGGAUGAAGACAAACCUGCUAGCCUUCUUAGUAGAGUCCAUGUGUGUUUUUUCUGGUUUGUUUCUGGAUGGCUGUAGAUCCCAGUGCAUCUCAUCUGAUCUCUAUUUUCAGUUACUAUCUCUGCAUUAAUGUGGUGGCUGUGAAGGAGGUGAUAUUCACAUUUGUUUCCAAAGUCCAUAACAUAGCUAAACCCCCGCUCUUUCCCUUACUGCUCACUACAAAACAAUUUUCCAUCUUUAGCUUUUUGCCAACAUUAUUCAUGCAUACAGUCUUCAGUUUAGUUUCACACAAGAAAAUCAACUAAGGCCUGUAUAAUUGGAAGAACUUUUUCAGAGCUAUGAACGUCCGGUCAUUCCCCAACCCCCGGACGUUCCAACUCAAGAUUUUCAUGGUUGUCGGCGAGGCUGCUCCUCAGCCUCCGCCGAUUGAAUUGCUGCAUGGUUGGUUUGUUCCUUGUCCACUGCAUCCAAAUCCUCCCAGUGAAGCUUGUGUUUGUGUAGAAGCCGAUUGUCUCCAAUUGGUCCUUAUUUUGUGUACCCUUUUUUAUUUACAUUUCUAGCCUAAAGUUUCCAUUUUCUUCGUUUGAGCCUAGCAUUUUUUGUUCCUGGCCCCUCAUACACCACCUCAUCUUUUCUAGGGCUUUGACUAGAAAUUGUAGUUGACUCUAGAUUUGGCGCCACGCUCAAAUUGGUUCCCUCCCUAUUUUCUGUUCCCGCUUCUUCUCUCUGUUUCUCAUAGCCACUUGGGCUCUCAGUUAUGUUUACAGCAGUAGCUGUGCUGGAUUGCUUCUGUACAUUCUCAUGCUGCUUCCUUCGUUCCAGCGUCAUUUGUAUUAAUUGCUCACCUGUCUUUAUUGUUUGGCUUUCAUUCUCACCCGAAUUUGGUUGGUUUAACCUGAGUUUGUUUUCAUCUGGAUCCAAGCCAAUAUGAUGUGGACGACUUCUCCUCUGGCUCUCUAGCUCCGUGAAGCCAUUGUUUUGUUGCUCCCCCUUUCUAUUCCAUUUGUCUCUGCCUCAGUUUAUUCUGGUUUUUUCUGCUUUUGAUAGAGCCCUCAUAUAAACCCCGUAAGGCAGAUUUUCUUUUGAUUGCCCUUCAUAUAAUACACAUUCUUUAAACUGAUGCCCAAUAAUACCACAACAGAAGCAGAAGUCUGGAAGUCGUUUAUACAAGCCCGGCAAUUCCACCUCAUCGUUAUCUUCCAACUCCAAGAAUACCAUUUUUUCUAAUGGUUUUAUAAUGUUGAUGGAAAUUCUGACUCUCGCAUACGGACCAAUGCAUUCCCCAUCAUCAUAUGUUUCCACUUCCAGAACCUCUCCUAACAACUCCCCCAGUUUUUGAACAUUUUCCCGAUCCAUACAUACUAUAGGCACAUUAUGAAUUUACACCCAAAAAGCUGCAUAUGUAAAUUCCUCCUUUCUCAUGUUUCCAAUCCCACUAGGUUCCUUUAGCACAAUCAACGAUCUGUCAAAAUGCAAGGUCCUCCUGCCAUCACCUUUCUUUUAUUUGUUUCCAAACCAAACUUAAAAAGGAAAAUAUUGUUUCCCAAGCUUUCAACUUUCACCUCUUUUAUUGUUCUCCAUGCUUGUGCUAAGGCGGUUUUGAUUCCUUCUGUUUGUAUGCUCCGUGCCAGCAGAACUUUGCCCACUAGAGAGUUUGCAAUUAUGCGUCCUCCUUGCCCUUGAGUUCCACCCCUGAGCGAUAGUUUUCUUCAUUGCCGUCUCGUAUGGAGAUAGCUUUGCAUUUCCUUACUAACUCCUCAGUAUCCAUUGGUAUUGAAUACAUCAACUAACCUCCACCUAUUUACUACCCUGAGUUUUCCAGUAUUUUUUGCCUACUCUCACUUUUAUAAAUGCACUCCCCUAAUGACACUCUCUGAAAAGGUUCAGAACCAAUCACUCAGUCUAAUGAGUGAAGAAUAGAGCCAUUAAAGCUCAAAAUAUACUCCAUUCUUUUGUUCUCUUUCGGAGAGAAAGAGAGCAUUCAACCUUCUGGACGAACUUGUACUUGUUGGAUUGAUUAUGAGAAUGAUUAAAUAAAUUAUCUGUUAAUGUGAAAGAUUGUAAAGUAUUGUUCUGCUAUUAUUGGCAGCAUGUGCCUAUGUCAUAUGAAAUAGAAUCUGUACUUUAUAUGUACUUCGAAAUAUUAGUUGAUAGAAUUCAAAGUAGGAGCAAAUCACGGCAACCAGUAAUGAAACUUCAUGCGGGGCUCCAACGCAUUAAUGAAGAAAUUUGUGUGGAAAUACCAUACUUGAGGUUUGGGAAAUGCUUGGACAAAGGGACACUUCUCGCGGCUAAUUUGGUGGCCCUAUAACGUGGUUUUCUUUUUUAUUUUUUCUUCCUUCGCUUUUGUCUUCAAAUUCAAUAUUAAAGUCAUUAUUUGCGUACUAAUCUUUUUGAACUAACUCAUUCUAUAAAUAUCCUAUUCAGUCUACUUGCUUCUUCAUCAUAGAAAAAAUGGCUUUGUUUCUCUUUCUUUGCUUUGCACUCAUUUUCUCAGCUCUAAGCAAUGGUGGCUCUGCUACCACUCGAGUUAUUCAUCCUCCUCGAUAUCUUGACAGUAAGCAUUUGUCGGAUCCUUAACUUUUGCUUCUUUUUUUUUUUUUCAUUUUAUAGCACAUACAAAACCCGUAACACAUUUGAUUAUGUAUUAAUUUGCUAAUUAAGCUACCGUUUGUACACGGAAGUAAAAAAUAAAAUAAAAUUAUAUAUAUAUAUGACGUGUGCUGUUUUUACAAAAAUAAAAUAAAAAACUGCCGGUUGCUUAUUUGGCUCCUUUAUUUGAGGAUAUUCUGUCACAUCGGCUGAGAAUAAUUAUUUAGCUAAUUAUUUAAAUUUAGGGUAACCCUCGACUCUUGAACUAAUUUCUUAAUAUAAGUUAAGUACAUGGGGAUUAAAUAAUCUUAUAUUGAGUUUCUUUUUUCUAAUUGUUUGUGUAGUCGAUGUGUCUUGCCAUGUAAUUUUGGCCAUUUGAGUGAGAUUAAUGUUGUUCUUCUAAUUCAAGAAAGAAACAUCUAUUGUUUAUGCGGUAAAAAUCUUAAUUUUUAAAUAAAAACACACAUAAUAUCAGUGACUUAUUAUUCCACCGAAGUUAUAUCUCUGAUGUUCAUAAAUUUUUGGUCUAAAAUGUAUUUUAAUCUGCAGCACUUCUGCCAAAUGGAAACUUUGAACUCUCACCGAAGAAAUCAAAACUCAACAAAACGGUGAUACUCGGAAAGUGAUUGAUGCGCAUGGUAUGUAUUCUCAUAAAAUAUCGAAAUAUUGUACACGCAACCCAAAAAGUGAUAACAUCUGAAAGAAAAACAAUUAGUAAGGCCCUGACCUGGCUGUGGGUUUGUGUUCUCAAGUCUCAACUUUUGUUGUGGACACGAUUUGGAGUGGAUUCAACUAUUUCGCGAAUAUGGGUAAAGUAAAUGAGUAAUGACAAAAGUCAUAGACAAUUUUAAAUAAAUUGGUAUGCAUAAAUUGAGAUAAUAUAAAUAGAUUGGUUAAAAAGUGAUAAUAGUUUUUUUUAAAUUAUAUAGGUGUAUAAUGAUUUUAUAUACUUAUUUGUAUAAGAUAGUUGUAUCUCUAUCAUUAUUCUAUUACAAAUAUAUGUAAGCAGCAUUAAUAAACUUUUGGUCUAUACUAUAAAUUUAUGUAUUUAGGUUGUCUGUGAACUUCAUAUUAUAGUAUCUAUAGAAUGCAACCAACCAAAUUAAAAGACAUUGUAUUAAACAUUUUAUUUGAGGAAAAAGUUUCUCUCUCCAAAUUUUUGGCAGAUGUGCAAUGAAUUUCCUUCAAAAAAAAGACCAAAAAAAAAAAAAAAAAGAGAGACCCAACCAAUAAUCUUCGAAAUCCUAGAGACUAUAAAAUAAGAUCAACAAGCAAAGAAGCCAAUAUACAAAUAAAAUUCUCACUAGGCAACCAAAAUAAAAGAAAGAAUAUAUUCAUAUUGAAGACACAGAUUUAAAUUGUUAUGAUUCCAAUCACAUUAAAAAUGUAGGAUAGACAAUAUUUUAUAAUUAAGAGAUCAAAUGAUCAGGAUACCUUUAUCAGUUAAUCUCUCUUUUCUUUUGUUUUUUUCUUUCCUGUUCCCACUUGAACUUAAGCCCAGUGUCUGUGGUACAAUGUACUUUGCUAGUGUUUACAAUAUUUACAGUCAUGAAAUGCAUACGUUAUUGAAGUGAAAAAUGUGAAAUAAUAAAAUUUUCUUCAAUAUUUUGAUUUGCGGACCAAAUACUCUCAGAAUAAAUCUGUGAAGAAUCUUGUAUUUGCGCAACAUCAAAAAAUUAAAAGAAAGGGUUUGAAAAAGAAAAGGUAACUUGGAUAGGAAGGAAGAGAAAGGAAAGUGAGAAUGUGAAGGCCAAGAAACAUGGAGAGAACCUAUUUAUACGAGUGUGCAGUCAAAAUCCAAAGCCAAAAUCUCUUACAUUAUCCUUUUUCUUUCACCUGGGUUUCUUCUAAAACAAAAGACACCUCUCUGUCUCUAUUCUGUUGUCUCAAAAUUGAGAUAAGUGGUUAGCAGGGAAAAUUGUUGUAAUCAGUUUUGACAGAUAAUACAUUCUUUUCUUUCAGUUCUGCUCACAUGAAUUUGCAUGUUUAUUUAAUCCUUUUUUUUCAUACGUUACCUUUUGUUUGCUGGUUUUAGAAUUUGAUUAAAUGGUGGUUUCCUAAAUUUAAUUGAACAACAGUUUUACUUUCUGAUGUUAUCCUGUGAAGGAAGGAUUAGACAAAAUAUCAAAGUAACCUCGAAAAACAUAACUGAAAAAUCGGCCUCGCCCGUGAAGUCAAGAGAGUAUACCACCUGUUUUCGAUGUUUCUCGAGGUUAAAGUCGCGUGAGACCAAAGAGAACGAGGAUACCAAAAAUUCAUCUGUGAGUGUUUACCAAAGUACUUCGAGGCUCGAGCUAAAGACAGCAAUACUAGACAGUCUUAAACAUGCCUUGCAGUGGCAGAUGAAUUUUUUAACUUGUCUCAAGUUCGGUUUCCGUACAAUGGUAAAAAAAAAAAAAACACGUUCGGGCACCAUUUCGUUACAGGUGUAAUUCAUCAAUAAGUUAAAAGAGUAUAAUCUUUUGAUUUAUGUCGAAUAGAUUGGUGCUAUAAGAACCUUUAUUUGAUCAAUGGAUUUAUGGGCACCCAUCUUUUUCAUAGUCGAUGUGGAAGCUUGUUUGAAAUCCGCUGUUCUCUUCCUGUAGUUGCAGUCUCUUCUUUACGAACAGACUCAGAUGUAAGAUUCAACACCUCACAACUUCAUUUGAACAAAACCACCCUUGAAUGAACCAUAGAGAGGUUGUGAUCUUCUGAAACUGAAAAUAUCAUCUAUGUGAACGAUGUGAGGCUCAGCUGAUUCACUAGUUUCUUCCUUCAACUCAGGUGCAUGCAGGCUCCCAUACACUCGAACACUUAGUGUCUUCUUCCGCGGUGCACCAGCUUUAAUAUUCUCGUUGAAAAAGUCAAUCAAUUCUUGUUGUGUCAGCUGCCUCAGUGCUGCAACCUGUUUCAACACUAAUAUUGUAUAAACCAACUACUUCAUAAUAUAAGUACUCAACUACAAGUGAAAAAGAUAAUUUUAAUUUGCUCAGGCCCCUAAGAAGGUUUACAGAGAACAGAGGCUGCGUUCUUCAUGUCUCUUAGUUUACCUUUUUCUCCAAAAUAAAUUGAAAAUGAAUCUUCAAACAUACAAAAGUCUUAACCUGACUUGGUGAAAAAUAAAUAAAUAAAUUGAUAGUAAUUCCCAUACCUCAGCCUCCCUCCGAUCAAACUUGAGGGUCCCAUCAGAAAUCUCACGCCAGUAAAAUCCAGAUUCUUCCUUUAAAUUCUUGUGUUUCUCAAGCUUCAUAUCAAUCAAUGCAUUUACGUUGUUCUACAUGAAAAAAAUGCCAUUUUCAAUGUUAAGGAGCCAGGCAUUUAUCCAAAAACACUCAUAUAAACAGAAUCUCUAUCUGGGAUCAUCAAGAAAAUAAUAAUUUCACAUAAAAGAAAAAAGUGGUUGAGACUGGGACAAUAGACGCAAUUACAGAAAAAUUGAUAAGGAAUAUUAUCUCUUUUAAUAUCACCAAUCUCUUUCUUUGUACUUAAUGUAGUUCCAUUGCAUUUCAAGACUAGGAUAUGACAAAAUGAUGAUAAAAAGAUGGAAUAAUAUCAUAUUUAUCUCAUAUUAAUAGCAACUGUAAAAGCAUUGGCAUAUGUAUAUAAGCAUUAUCACAUUAAUUCAUGCAGUUAAUAGUCUAGAAUUAAGAUUAGGGAAGUACUUUCUCUAUUCAAAACAUGUUAUCCAAAUGAUUCUUUUGAUAAUUCUAUUGGUAAAAGAUUUGAGCAUCAAACUUGAGCAUUACUGAUAUAAUAACUUCCAACCUUCUGUAGUGUUUAUAAAAACAAUCUCAUCAGUGAAAACACAGAGCAGAAUAACUCAUGUAGAAUAGAAAUGUGUGUCUCACCUUGAAUUGGUCACUGGUCAUCUCAUAAAGUUUACUUUCAAACAUCUGGAGGAAUGAUUCAACUCUCAGAUCAAUAUACUUCGGACCCUGUUAAAUUGACAGAGCACUUGAGGCAAAGCGACAAUAAUGCUGUCAAUGUGCAUAUUCAAAGAACAAAACUAUGCUAUCACCUUUACUGAGGAUUGAAUGAUGAACUGCACUCCAUGGAUACCAAAAUCAUUCCUACAUCAAGUAGAUAGCUAAAUUUAAAGCAAAUACUCCAAGCUGAAGGAGAACUAGGGACCUCAAGUUAUGUACCUCCGCAGGAGUGCUGUAAUGUACCCAAGUUGCUCAACGGUUCUAAGCUGGUGGAAAGCUGGUUGUUUUGCAAUAAGAGCAAGAAGCUGAAGUUUCACAUUCAUAAGGAAAUCAUCUCGAUGAACCUGAACAACUCAACAUGACAUGACAUCAGAAUCGCAUCAGACCCCCCACAGAAACAAAUGGUUUGGUCAAAUAGAGAUCAAGAAACAUGUAAAAGAUUUUGUGUGACUUGUACAUCUAUUAUCCCUGUUGCAUGGGUCCCAAUAACCUACAUUUCAGAAUCCAUGCCAGUUUGUCCCAAAACCAUAUAAUUCUAAAGCAACAAAACAAUAUUAACUCCAUGAAUCAAAGAAUGCUCGAGGAAAACCAAUGUCGCUUAGCACAAGAUAUAUAUUUUCAAGAAAUCGGACACAAAACUAUUUCUUUCAGAGCUUAAGUUCGGAGCCUCAACAACAUGCAUAAAGAACCGUUGGAUGACAUGUAAUUCACUUAAAGUAAUGGCAAAAGCAACAUAUAAAUAGAUCUCAUCACAGUUUGUGCUGUCUGAGAGUAAUGGCAGACAUCAACACAUAAAUAAUACACACUGUAUGUUUGUCUUAAAAGUAAUGGCGAAAACAUUACCAUAAUUAUUCCUUAAUCACAGUUUGUUCAGUAGUUUAGGGUCUUAGCUGAAUAACCUAAUCAUACGGACAGUAAAGAGGCAAACCACUGUUCAUCAAGAAAUGACAGCCCAAACAAAGCCAUUUUAAAGCAAAAACCGCCCUACACCAUAAGCGGGGGUCAAUUCACCAUGAAAAGAAGGAAAAAGGCUCAACUACUUGCUAAUCUCUUUUUUUUUUCUCUCCUUUUUAGCCCCCUUCUCCCCCCCCAAAAAAAAAGGUAACAACUGGGCAGAAAAUAUUGGUUGAAACAAAUAUCAGUAUUUCAUUCCCUUUUCAUGAAAAUAUCUAAAAUUUGAAAUCAAUGCCUCCAACUACGAUAUAGCAAUGGGAAGAAAGAAUACACUAGUGAUAAACAUGUGUCCCAAUAACAAUUAGAAUACUGCUCAAGAUUUUAUCCUCUUCCCAAAAGGAUACUUUCAAAGCUUUUCAAGUAUUAGAAGGGAUAAGAAAUGCAUGCAGAAUACCAGCUGCUUACUUUUACAAGGAGUUUAGAUGCAGCAUAUAACAGGUAUAUCAGCAGCCAAAGCACUUAAUUAAAUCAUUAUUUUCCUUUUUUUUCUAAAAAAAUUCUUGUACCUGAAUAUAAUGGACUAGGCAAGAAUUUUCAUCACUAGGAUUCAGGCCUUGGUUGGAGUACACAUAAUUCUUGCCCUUUUCAAGUUUAACAACUCUAUUAGUCAAAUGCUGGGAUGGGAACAAUGGUUGGCAUAUUGGGUUUGAGCCCUUAAAGAAAACAUCUUCAAUGUACUGGAUCAUCGAUCCUGCUUCAUUAGAUUCAAUGUUUCCUGAAAACAAAUGAAAGUAAUGAGAUCAUAAAUGGAAACAAAAAGGAAUGACCGAAAUCUCAAACAAUGCCAUUAAAAAAUUGAAACAGAAGGACCUGCUAUGUAACAUUCCAAGAAGGUCCUAGAGAGCAUCAUGGGUACAAAUUUAGCAAGAUCUUCAGCUUCAAGAUGAGGAAGAACUUCAAGUUCUUCCGUCCAAGGCCACGUUUGAUCCUGAAGUAUUAGAGAGCAGUAGUACAUAGCCAGUUGAUAUGGCUGUAGAAACUUAUUAUUAUGGUAUUCUUUUGUCACCAUUUCCUGCAAAUAAAUAAAGGGAAUGAAAAACUUUAUUCAUACAUGAACAGCUUGGGUUCAUAACAGACUCACCAAAAGAAGCAACAUGAUAAUGGUUCCAUACAGUGUAAAUGGGGAUUGUUAAGUCAAAAGUUCAACCAGUUGAGGAGUCGCUCACAGAACCAUCAAAUGCAAGUUCCGGAAGAACUAAAAAACGGCGCUAAAACAUUUUUAGAAACAGCUUAUACACUUUAAUAAUCAAUUUAUACAUCUUUCUAAACAGAGUAGGAUAUAUAAACAAAAAUAUAUUUUUUACCCUUAAUAUUUUAGUAUGCCCCUACCACAGUGAAGAUCCACUUCUGGGGGCUUGUGGUUGCUUAUGCAUGUGCAUCCACAUGAAUGGAAUCCAGGUGUAAAAGAUGAAAGAAAAAGAUACAAUGCAUGCCCACACCCAGAUGCACACCCCUAAAGCCUUCAUGCUGAAAAGCCAUGUUACUGAUUUGGAGCUCAAAACAACCAAAGCUAUGCAGGCUUUGGAACAGCACAACCAAAGAAAAUUAUUGUAAGCUCCCAAUUAUAAACAAAUAAUACUAGUACUUUGAUUCAGUUAGAUGUUUAAGAUUAUAAAAGAAAAUAACAUUCAAUGUCAAACAGGUCAAAUAUUUUAAGCCUAAAUCAUUACCUUAAUCACAGAAAAUCUGUCAGGUUUGACUUUGAAUUGUGCAAUUUUUUGAAAAAUAGUUUCCAGCAAGAUCCUCAAUUUGUGAUUAUAUCCAACCACUGUAACCUAUAGAAGCAAAAACCAUAAAAUCGACACAUAAAAAUGCAUACCAACAUGCGAUAAAUAUCAAAGGCAAGUGAUAACAUUACCUCAAAACCACUCUCAGUAUGGUUUAUCCCAUAAUCAAGGCCAGCAACCUGAGCAUAGUAAGCUGAUACAUAAAGAUAUGAUGGAUAAGGAAAAAAUUUAAUUUUAUUCACAAAUACAGAAUUAUGUAAAUUGUGGAAGUUAUGCUCUGUACCAGAAACAUAAGAAUUUUAUCAAAAUGAAAGAGAAGAUGAUACGGAAGUGAACCAGAGGUUCACAAGGGAAACAAAGACAGUCCAAUAAAAGCUACCUACUAACCAUAUAGAACAAAUGCAUAUCUAUACCUCAAACAGCAUACAAGUCCCAAAAUUUACUAAAAUGUGAAAAAAGCCCAAUCAAACAAAAUCAAUCCAUGACCUCUGUCAACUCAACUAAACCUAAAUACAGGGAUCAGGUAUGAGAAGCCCUUUGGUAAUAAUCUGUUCCUUCAAUGAAAUUUUAGUAUGUGGAACUCUAGUUUACUUUGGAAAUCUUUCUCCCUUUAUUUAUUCUAUAAAAGUUUGUCUGUUUCCAACUAAAAAGAAUGAAAACAAAAGUUAAAAGAAAAGGAAUAGUCAUUUGUCCAAUCCUACAUCAACAUCCUACGACAUUUAUCCAGCAUCUUACCAUAUUCAUUCAAAUAGUCCAGUAACAACCGUGUGAAAAUAUCAGUCAGAACUUCAGAUUCAGGAGAGCUGCUAGCAUGGGGGCAGUUGAAAUAAAUCUUAACAAAUGCCUUGGGUGUAGAGAACAUUGUGUCAGGCCUGUACCACAAUGUUGAAUAGGAUGACUUUCUCAACAGAACUGGGAAUUUGGCCUGUUACAAAGACCAAUUGCAUACGAACAAUUACUUUAAAGAGAAAACAUCACAAUAAAUUUUACUGUAAAGAUGGGGGGAAAAAAAUCCUGAGACCUCUUGUGCAUCCUUAAGAGACAAGUCUGUGGGGAUGAAGACAUUAGGAGUUGGGAGAUGCAGAUUUUCCUCAGCAGCAGACAGUAUCCAGUCCUGGAAACAAAUAAAGAUUUUGAAGACUCAUCAAUUCCUUCCUUCAAGCUGCUCUAAUCACGCAAAAUUUAUUUAGCUGCUUCCACUGAAUGUGGGACAAGAUAAAUAGCAUACACUCCAAUCUAAUAUGAACUUUUCCUUCUUGGAAAUCAUAUCCAUGAACCAAAAGAGAAACCCUAAAACCUCACCCUCCAUCUCAUUCUAAUAGCCAUUUGCCUCCAAGGACAUUGACCUCUGUUAUUAUCACUAGAAUAAUGAAUCAUAUCAUAUUUAAAAUCAAACAACGAACCUGAAUUAUGGACUCAUUGAUUUUCUCAAUGGAAUAAGCAGUACCAUACCAAGGCUCAACCAUGUCUGUUUUCCCCUCAAAUUGCUUUGACUCCCAAAAAAAUCCUGAUAAACAGAGAGCUUAUUAGAAAGCCGACUAUCUGUCAAUCACAAUAGUCUGACUUUGAUUGCAAGAUGGAGACAGCCAAUUGUACAUGAAUUAUGAGACACAAACAUGUCCUUGAGCAUUACUACCAACAAGCAGAAAAAUGCAAGUAAUUACUCUUGAAAACAAAGUAUCAAAUCCGAAACUGCUAACCAAGUUAUUGGCAAUACAAUGAUAUUGAAAUGUUUCCCUUUUCUUUUAAACAUAAAGCAAUGGGAAGCAAACAAUUAGUUAUAUUACAGAAGAUAAUGGAAACAAGCAGAUAAGGCUUCACAUGCACAUGGAAUAGUUUAAAGCCAGACAAUUAUUUUACAAGAAAAAGAACUUAUCUUAUAGCAAGAAGAAUGGGAAGGAUAAAAAUAAAACAUCAUCCUGCCAUAGAAGUUCAACGAUAAGUCAAAUGCUUAAAUGAAGUUCGGAUAACUUCUACCAGAAUCAGGUACCAUGUCCAACAAAAUAGUGAACUAAAGUUAAAUUUUUUAACAAUCAAAUUGGAACAGAUGUUAUGUACAAAGUUCAAACAACGGAACCAUGUGAGUCAUUCGUCAUAUGCACCGAGUCAAACACUCUCUAGGCGCUUACAAACUUACCGAACAGUUUUUGGAGAAAGCUCAUUCAAAGUCAUUUGAAUAAUCUCUGGACUGAAAUUGGAAGGCAAUGAUUUACCCACUAGCCAGUCUUGAGGAGGAUAUGUCUGAAAAAUAAUUUCAAGGCAUCAUUUACUAACAGAAAAAACAGUAAUAAUUGACUCAUUCACAAUCAAAACAGACAACUGCAAAAGAAAGAUGUCAAUCAGCUACCAGUUCAUGAUUCACAAGCCCAAAUAAUCCUUAAAACGUAGAACAAAGACAAGAAAGUCAAAUUUGUAAACUGUCUAUAAGAAUAGCACAAAGACUGGUUCUUGCAAAAAGCUGUUGGGAAUCUAAAAAAAGAGGUCCAGCAUUCAAAAACAAUGGUAGAACAAGAUUAUUAAUCUACUCACCAUAUCCACUUAUCUAUGUCUAACAUUAAACAAAAACACCUUUAUGUGCAAGGGAAAGAGACAAUGAAGCAGGCAAGAUAACCAUAUUUUUCAUCCAAUCAAUCAUCGGAUAAAGGUAUUUUCUAGUGUUUCAAGUGGUGUUAGCAGCUAUGCCUCACAAUCAGUUCCUCAAGCUAUACUCCUACACUAUUCCAAUUAUUUUAAACAAUGUAAUAAAACUGGAUAUUUCGUUCAACCCAGCAGGAUUAACUUUACAAAAUGAAAAAGAACCUAUACCUCCAUAUAGGUAGCAACAGUAACCACAUAGUCAAUCGGGGGGACUUUAUCCUGAUUAUGAAAUGUCACCUCACAAACAGCUGAAAGCUUCAUAAGAUAAAAAAAAUGUCAGAAUGUUGAAGUCUAGAUAGGCUGAAAACAAGACAGGCAACCUUCCAGAUGCAAAUUCAAUAAAUAGUAAACAAUUGAAGUACUGACAAGGAGAGAGUUGAUUAUCCUUCAAGCAAGAAUACAGCAUGACAAAACUUUUAAAAUAUUAUGAAAGACAUAAAAUGCAUGAUAAUAAUUCAAAGCCAGAUUCAUUGAUGUGUUGGACUGCUGUCAUGAACUUUCCUUCCUUCCAGAUUGCAUGAAAGUAUAAAAGGAAGAAAAACUAGAGGGCAAUAAAUUUGAUGCAAUUUUUUUUACUUUACACCGAGUAAAAACUAUUCUCAAACCUUCGGUGGAUAUACUGUGGGUGGCUAUACUCAAAUCUCUGGUGGUCAGCAGAACAAUUUCUUAAAAGCGUCCGUUAAGAUACAUCAUCUACAAGAACAUAUUCUUCCUGUUUCAACCAUAAUCCUGAAACUUAACAAUAGCAUGCAAGUAAUGUUUGAAUAGCAACUAUCAUAGUUCCCCCAUUUCACAUUUCUACAUAUACAUCAUUGAUACGGCCAAUUACAAUCACGAGUCAUUAUCCAAAAGACCAACUUUUACCACAGCAUUGUAAGAACAAACUAUCGAACAAUAAUAGUCUCUCACAACUAAAAAGUAAUGCCAUUAGCAGAGUCAAAUAACUUCUUGUUUCCAACAACAAAUAAGAGUAGUAGUAGAAAUAAGAAGCAAAAUAGAUACUAAGCUAACAGCCAAACCCCAACAUUCUCAGGUAGAAAAUGUAAUGCAAAUCAAUCAUCCUACCACUAUGCUCUUCAACAGAAGCAUCCUACAAAGAGGCAAGACUGCACGGAUGCGAGAAACAUGCAAUUAACAAUAAUACUAUGCAACAGUAGCAGUUAACAAGAUGCGUCAUCAUACCUCAUCAAAUAUCCAUUUGCUAGCACCAGACUGCUGUAAAAGGUUUAUGUAUUUAAAUAGCAACCCCACAACAUCUUGCAUGUGCUCUGCUAGUCAAUCAAGGGGGGGGAAAUAUUUAACCCAAAAGAUCUACAAAUUGAAGUUAUUUGCAUAUUCUAGCAGAACAAAGUAAAUCAAUUGAUUAUAAUGAAUCACAUUCAAUUAAAUGCAGUGUGAGAUACAAAUGAAUUACCAUGACCAGAAUCAGUAAGAUCAACUGUAACUUCAAAGAAUGAAUAGUCCAAAGUCCAAUCUCCUUCACCUGCAGCCAAUGAUGUAGCCCAUCCUGCAAAAAUUUAUUUCAAAAAGAGGUGACUGGUCAGUUGGCCUUUCAAAGGUGAAAAUUUUUGGUGUGGAUAACCAAAGACCCUGAGCUAGUGUCAUCAAAUUCCACUUUGAUCUUUAUACACAAAACAAACACAGACAUUAUCAACCAGAACAUACAUGUGCUUAUAUCAAGACUUCUUCCCACCCUGAAACUUGCGAAAUGGUUGCCAUCAUUUUACAAUCACAUUAUUUAUCAAUGAAUCAUUCCAAAGAUAUUCAUCAGUAGCUCAAUUCCUAAUCACGCAAAUAAAAUUUUCCCUUAAGCAUGAAAAAUUGCUCUCAUCAAAAUACCACUGCAUUCUUGGAAGAUCAUAGGCAACAACCGGAUAUGCUAACAUCAAAAUUAAAGAAAGUGCACUGCCAUACUUUACCUUUAAGCAAUAUCAAUGAACAAAUACUAAAAUAAAUAAACAAUUAAAUAUAUGAUAAUCAACACAAAUUAGUACAAGACAAAUUGUACAGAUUUCAGUGGACGUUAACCAAAGUCAUCAACAAUCCAGCCAUGAAAUGAGGAUCAGAGAGUGCUUCAUCCCCACUAAGCUGUUUGCAUCAAGCAGUGAUUCUUAAAAUUCUAGAGGAAAAUCAGUCCCUCAAGAAAGCAUAACAUGCAGUAGCUUUGUAAAUUGUUUCUAACAUCCACACUAUGGAAAUAUGACAGGGUAGGCAUUGAAUACUCGGGGGGGGGGGGGGGGGGGGGGGGGGCCAAAGGAAAAAAUAUGUGGGGGGAAAAUCCAAAAGAACUUAUUUGGUGGCUACAACCUAUAAAAAAUCCACAAAUUUAUGGGUUAUUUGUUGUUUACUAUUCAAAUUAACAAAAACAAUUCAUUCUGAACUUGUAAAGAAGAAGCAUCUCAAGCCUAAGGAUGUAGGAACACAAAUUAUGGACACUAAAACUUGGUUAAGUUCUCAAAUCAAAAAAGUUUCAGGAUGCAACUGAAAGCUGCAAGUACAUUGAGAAUCAGAAAUAUAAGGGAUAAGCAGAACCUACCCAAUGUUUUCAAGAUGUAAAACAAUGAUCCCUCUGAUUCAUGCCCAAUAAGAUGACUGAUAUAUCUGCCUGGUGCUUCCUUGUAGUGAUGAAUGCUUGGAGUUAUUGGCCAUCCAAUUCUUAGUUUGUGACCUUGUUUAAUUGGAACAGCUCUCACAAGAAUCUGAAGCAAAAAAUAUAAACUAGGAAAAUUUGAAAAAAAGAAAAAAUUCUUUCCUACUUUCUGCAGUGUCACUUGAGACCCUUUGUCACCACAUAGAACUUGUGCAUACCUGUAAAUGUUCUGAUGUGCAAGGCUGACCAGGAAAACGGAAACGAUUUCGAUCAGUGUUCCUAAUGUCCUGAAACUUAUUCUCCACUAGACCUUGAAUUUUAUCAACACUUUCUAGAAACAUCCAUCACAUAGGGUUGGUCAUUAUAUCUCAGAGUACUUCAGUCAAGGCCAAAAUACAGCAGGAAGAAUUAGUUCCUAACCUUUUGAAUACACAACCAGAUGCAUGAGGUUGGAAGAGUAAUGUUCAUUAUAAAACUUAAUGAGCUCAUGCCUUGUGUCCAAUCCUUUCGCUUUUGGUUGAACUUCCAAAGUUUCCCAGUUACCUAAACACCAACAAGUACUUGAUAUAAACAUCUAUCUCAUUGAAACACAAUAUGCAGAAACUAGGGCGAAAAGGUGAAAGGAAAAAAAUCGUGAACACAAUGAAUUGUAGACAUCGACAGAACAACUUGGAAAUACAAUCAUUUUUUCAUAAAACUCUGAAAAAUUACUAAAAUGAAGAAAAUGAUAAAUGAAAAAGUAUAACAGAAUGUAACACUUUAUAAUAAAGAACGGAGAAAGAAUCAAGUAAGUUGCCGACCAGUGCUAAACUUAUGAUAUGGAUGAUCUUCUGAACUUAGAUGUUUCCGCAGCUGUACAAAUUAAAAAAAAAAAAAACAUAAAGGUAGUCAUUUCUCACAGAAACACUACCAAAACGACUACUAUGGUCAAAAGAUAUAACACCUUAAUCAUAAUUAACUUGCUGGAACUCAAACACAAUCGUCAGGACCAGCUUUAUAAUUUAUGCUUUUAAGCCAAACAAAAAAUCAAUAUGAUAUGAACAUUAAUUUGACCAAGAGGUCUUAUAUUUGAAACCUCCCAUAUAAUUGCAUUCAGAUUUGUAUUUGCAUUUGCAUUAUCAUCUGCAUCUAAGUUAGUUUCUAUUUUAGCUUGAUCCACAUGACAAGGCUGUUAAUAAAAUUCAGAGGGUCUGUUAAUACUAUAGUUGAUAAAAUCCAGAUGGCCUGUUAAGGCUAUAGUUGACUAAUCUAUUAGCAUAAACUUUUAGGUCGAUUGAUGAUGAUGCUAAUUGUUAAAAGCAAUAAUGAUGACAACAUCAAUGAAGAUAAAUUACUUUCUUAUUUCUCAUUAAAAAGGGGGAAAAAGAACAACAACAACAAAAACAAGAUACUUGCUUAGUAAAAUCUCUUGGUACCAAUGCAAAGAUCUAGAUGGAAUCUUUUCUUCUCCAAGGAAGUUUCAAAGGUUGUAAAACAGGCCUUCGAAAAUAAACGAAUUCUACAAAAUUUGAUCUAAAAUUAUGUGGGACCUAUAUAUAAAUUUGAUACUUGGCAAUAAUUUCCAUUUAGCCUUAUUUCAAUGUUAAGCUUAACAACAGAAAUCCAAUCACUUGGCAUUAUUUUAGCUUGCUCAUAUUUUAGGAGUUAAUAUCUAGGUUUGAUUGAAUAGGCCUCACAACAGAACAUCAGUCCUUCUCUAUUAUAACUGUCCUGAUUGGCUUUUGCAUGAGGUCCUCUGUGGUUUUUUCUUUUUUUUUUAAUUAAUUAAUUAUUUUUUUAUUUUGGGGCCACAUCAUUAGUAUUUGCAGUUUCCUAUUUAGAAUUUCAACCCUUUGGCGACUUCAGGAAAACUGGCAAGUCUCAUACAUUCCAGGCAAACGCUUUUAAAUGAAGAUCAGUUGCACUCCUUAGAAUCGUGUGAUAUAAGUGUAUGGGAAAAAUUUGAUGCUGAGGCACCAUACAUUACAUGUGAUGAAUACAUCUAUUUAUUCAUCUUUCUUGGAUUACUGUUCACAUCCAAGUAAAAGUAGCUCAUGUAACACUAUCUUAACCUGAUAUUUUGGUCUCAAAUGCUACCCCGACCAAUAUCCUUCAAAAUUCAAAAUUCUACACAUAAUUUCAACUCUUAAGCCACCCUUUGUACCAUAAUAUCGGCACCUAACAAUCAAUAAGCACUUUACAUGCCAAUUAUCAAGAGCGCUAUUCUUUUUCUAUUUAUACGUAACAAAUUUAUUACAAAAGCAGUACCAAAAUUGUGGAGCAACCGUGGUACAUGGGAAAUAUAUAAGAAACACCGAAACAGAACCAAACUAAAGCCUAGUGCUUAAGAUCUCUAAAAAUUCCAUAAAAGGAAGAGUGAAAAUGAUUUUUUGGCAGACGAGUACAACAUAAAGACCCCAAAUCAAGCUAAGUCCAUUACCACUCAUCCAUUUUCCAACUAAUCAACACUGCUAAGAUUGUCUUGAACCUAAAACACUAAGCUUUCCAUAGAACACCAAUCAAAAGGCAUUGUAAGAGAAGAAGACCUACACAAUCCCCAAUACCCUUGUGCCAUAAAACACCAACUUAUAAUAAUUUAUUUUCUUCUUACCAAAUUUUAUUGUGCUAAGAGUUCAACAAAGGAAUUUCAAUUUUAGCAAAUAUUAUAUCUCAAUCUAUUCAAAUAAUGGCCAAAGGUCAGAUGUCUGUGCAUGUUCAGGUUUUUUUAGUUCAAUGGAGCCACUUCUUAUACCAAAGAACAUAGGAUAGAAACCAGAAAAAAGGAAAAAAGAAAAAAAAAAACACGAGUUGCAGCAAUAAAAUAAAGCUUUAUGAAGGAAAACUUUCACUUCAAAACUGAUACUCAGGCUCAGCAAUGGGGUCCCAGGUCUCUUGUGAAUGACAACAAAUGAUAUAAUGAUAUAACUUAGAAAAUAGAAACCCAAGGAAAAAUCAUCUCCAAAUAUUAAAUUAAUAGAAGUAAGCAAUACCUGGUUUAAUCUCCAAACAUCAGACAACAAGUUUUUCUGGUUCUCUGGAUACAAGCGAGGGAAGAGGAAGGAAAGCGGAACUGAAUUAAUGAUAAUGAAACAUGAUUCUGAAAGUACAUUAAUGCGCUAGACUCUACAAUGAACAACUAACCAGAAUCAACUGCUUUAAUCUCCCUCAUGGUAGCAUCAGCUGACAUCAACGGUUUAAUAAAGAACUGUGCAAAUCUGUGCAGUAAAUCACAGGAAAGACUCAGACUCAAAAACUCAAGUACUGAAAGAUUUGAUACUUAAGAAAAACGAAAAAUGGCAUGUACCUGUCCAAAGCUUCUUCAAAGGAGUCAGGGUUUACAUCAAAGUAGUAGUUUGUAUGCUCAGAAGAUGUAAACGCAUUUGCCAUUCCUCCAUGCUGUGCAUAAGAAAAUUAAUCAGCGGUGAAAAUUAGAACAACACCUUGCUCGUUGUACUUACAGGGAUUAAUCAAGAAAUAAAGCAGAGAGCAGUUUGUAUUUAUCACUUGAUCACACAACCUAAAAUGUAUGUGCUCAGGUGUGUAAUGACACCCUAGUUUCUACCCCAAAAGAAUUCCCAAGAUAAUCCUUAAAACAGAACAAAAAGUGCACUCUCCAAACAGACACAUCAAGGAACAUACCAGUGAUACCACCCAUACACAGGGGGCCAAAUUAAAAAGGAAAUGAUAAAUCUCUGGAGCGAACCAGAUUUCUAUAAAUAAUGCAAAUAAAGCUCAAGACAGGGAAGCAAAACUACACGAAAGACAUACUUCAGUACUUUUGCUACCAAAAUAUGAAUGCGCCAAUCAAAACAGGACACCUGUCCCAAGGACCUAGGUAGGAGGUAUUCCUUUAUUCCGUAAAGAAGAUUGCAGUGCCAUAAUAAUCACCCACAAUCCACAAACCAUCUUUCCUACAAGGUCUCUAGAGUUGCUUCCCCAAUAAAUUAUAUAUCAAACUUAAAAAUAAAAACAAAUUUCAGACUCCAGAUUCCUCUUCACAUGUCUCAAACUGUAUUUAAGAUCAACCUUAACCAUAAACAAUACCAAACCACCACCCAAUGACUCUACUAGAAGACAUAAGCAAAGAUAGGAUGUGGAAUCACAACUAGUCUUAGGAUGUGAUUCAACAACCCGCAGUAAGACUGUGGUCAUUAUUCACGGUCGCUGCUCCAAUAUUAUCUAAAUCGCCACCCUGACACUAUGCAAGAUCAGUAACCUAAAGACAUAAAAUCUAAAGUAAAAAUGAAAUUUCUGGCACAAGUUGUCUCAAGUAUCAAAAGACAGCUUGAGAGGAUCAUGUUCACAAUAUAAUUCAUAAUUUUUCACUCCAGCAUACAUCAGUCAAUGCAUGGAAAGUCCACAGCAUCACUAAGAACGAUAAGGAUACAUAUUGACAAUUAAAGUAUUUUUUUUCGACAACAUUACCAAACAUUAUCAAAUCAUAUCACAAGAAAUUGAUAGACCACCAUGUCAGUGAACUUUCUAAACCCUUGUUGAAUAAACUGACUACAUCUAAAUCCAAUCCGGUUAUGGGUCAGCUCCACAGAGAAAAGAACAUAAAUGGAGUCAUCACCCCAUUCCACAAUAGAACAAUCCAUGGCUGAAAAUUUAAACAAGAAUACCUUUUCCACAUCCAAUCACUAAGAUACAAUGUGACUGCAAUGGCUUGCAGGAAAAUAGAGGAAUGUAAUUAAAACUAAAACUCCCAUCAGCCCUACAAAUCAAGUGAAGAAUUUGCUUCACGAUUUUGUUUUUACAAACACCUGAUUAACAAAAAAGUUAAGAUUUGCCUCUGGAGGGAAAAUGUGUCUUUUUAGUCAGUUAUAUUCCAAGGGAAUAGCAUUCAAAAUUUUUUUCCUUGUCUGUGUAUCUCGCCAACUCCCUCCGCUUCUAGUUAAAGUCUAUUAUUAGUAUCAAAGAGCAAGAUUAAGCAUAAAGCAUGAUUCUCUGAAACUUUUACUUAAGAAAACAUACUAGAAAUAAGUGAAACAGGACAUUAUUGAGGGUCAAUACCUCUGAUAUGUACUUUAAAUAGCUAUCCUCCACUGGAUAUUUCUCACUAGCAUAAAACAGCAUAUGCUCUGCACAUUAAAGAAACAGGAAAACAGUAACUAAAGCAAGUUAUGAAUACUCGAACUCAUUAAACAGGCCACAGAAAUUGUCCCCUGCAGCCAUAUAAAUAUCUAAGUACAGCUAAAAGUGAUAAUAAUGUAGAAUAGGAGAGUAGAAGAAUCAUCCAAUAAAUUGCCACACAACAGAAUUCAAAAAAAAAAAAAUAUAUCAAUGACAAUAGUAAGAGUAAAAAGGGAAAAGAAAGUAGGCAAAGUAGGAAGAGAUGAAAGAACCGAGAACGAAACAAUGCUAUAACUUUAACAGGAAAUUAACAAGCCUAAACAUACAAUGAAGAAAUACUUGAACCAAAAAGAAAGUACAAGUGAAACUUCUAAUUCUGUUUUAAUCUGUCUACUCUAAUUUCAAUAUGAGCAACACAUUGUAUUUUAAUCUGUGAUCAUCCGAAAACACGUUUAGAGUCAUCUCACACAAACCCAUCCCCAUUUUUUUUUGAAGUAACUUUUACAUUCAUACAAGACUAAAAUUCCCCAAAUCAAGAAUUCAAAUUUGCCACAAGAUACAUUAAACAUACCGAGAAAAUGGGCAAGGCCCUCGAGACCAACAGGGUCACAAAAGGCACCAACGCUGACAUUCAUUGAAGCAGCACACUGAAGCAAAAACAAUAAAACAAACCAGACCCACAAGAUUACUAGCUUAAAUUAAACUGAAAAAUAAAAUUUUAAAAAUUUGGGUCUUGCUGAUUACCUUAUCGGCAUCAGGAUCGCUGAUCAAAAGGACUUGAAGAGAGUUUUUAAGGUCGAGCCUCCGGUACUGUCUCUUGUCCGUACGUGGCUUUAUAAUCUCAACCUCAUCCUUACCGACAGCCAUUUUUUCAGUCUCUUGCAGAAGAGAGAAACAAUCGUUUUGGCUUUAUAGGGAUCCACAAGUGAAAUGACCAAGCCCAAGACUUUUUGCUCGAGUCUCCUGCGCUAUCGUGCUGUGGCUGUCACAGG